UCAUCAUCUUCUUCUCCAUAUCUUCUCUCCGUCAAUGGCUUCUUCACAAAUCAUUCACAUAUAAGUUGAGUGACAAAGCAUAAUUAAUCAACAAAAUUAAACAUAAAAACCCCCAACCAAUUAAAAAAACACAUUAUAAAGAAAUUAAAAAAAAAAAAAAAAAGGAAAAAGGAAUCAUCUUCUUCUCCAUAUCUUCUUCACCAUUAAUGGCUUCUUUAAAAAUCAUUCAUAUAUAAAUUGAGUGAGAAACCAUAAUUAAUGACUUCUCGGUAUCUUCUUCUCCAUUAGUGGCUUCUUUAAAAGACACAUUGAAGAAAUGAAAAAAAAUAACCAUCAGUUUUCCUUAAUAAGAUAUAAUUUUUUUUUUUUUACUUUCUUGUUCAAUCCGCGAAGGGGGCUUGGGGGAGGAGGGUUUCAAUGAAGGGGUAGGGGUGUUUGGAAGAGAAGGGCUGGAGGGGGGGGGGGUUAAUUAGUUUAUUUAUUUUUAAUUUAGAUUUAAUUUUAUUAAAAAAUUAUUUUUAUAACUAUUUUAAAUUAAAAUAUCACAUGUCGUUAUUUAAUUCGCCACUUUGCCACAUCAUCAGCGUGUGUAUUACAUGCAGUUCAUAUUUUUUAUCACGUCAGCAAAUUGGGCUUAAUUGAAACCAUUUGUGAAGGAGUAAAGGGUUCAAUAUGUACCUGACUUAAUUAAGGUGCCUAUACGGGAAAAGUGAAAUAGUUCAGGAGCCUGUAUAUAUAUUUCGUUUUUUUUUCUUCUUAAAAUUCAAUGUCAAUGCAACUAAAAUUAAAUAUAAUUUUUUGUGCAACCUAUUGUUUGCAACUAUUUUCUGUCUUCCUAUCUUUAUAUCAUUUUUUAUAAAAUUUUCUUGCUGAAAUGUUGCAAUAUCCUUAGAAAUUAUAGGUAAUAAUAUAUAUUUUUGUUAAAUAUUUAUUUGACUAUGAUUAUUUUUUCUUUUUUAAAAAAAAUUAUUUCUCCACUUUCUUCUAAAUACAAUUUCAAGUUAGUGUUUGACUAUGAAAUUUUCAAAUAUAAUUGAAAAUUAUAUUUAGAAAAAUGAAAUCAAAUAAAUUUUUCUCUCUCCUACUUCUUUCACAAAAAUUCAAAAACAACUCUAAUUUAUAUUCUUGGUCAAAUACAACUUCAAUUCUUUCAACAUGCAAUGCUCUGGUAGGUUGUUUACAAAUAAACAAAAAGUAAAAUAGAAUGGAAUAAUACAAAAGCACGAAUCUACAAAAAAUGUAUAUUACAAAAUCUUUUCUUGUUCAAUUAUGUUCAAAUUUCAAAAUUUGAUAUGAAAUUCUAUAUGCAUAUAGAUUGUAGAAUCAAUGAAUAAGUUUUUUGAGCAAAUAACAUGAUAAAAAAUUUACAUAGAUUUGAAUUGUAUAUAAAGACAUAAGGAUGAAGACAUGUCAUGAUUAACACAUAAAAAAACCUCUUAACUCAACCAUCUAGAGAAAUAUUCAGUGGGUCAAAUCUAUUGCAUUUGACUGUCAAAUAACAUUUAUCAUGAGCUCUACAUUGAUGCAGGUCUAUGAACCGAGGGAGAGGUAUAUUUGUUUGUGUUUGUAUUUAUGCAAAUUCAUUUUUCAUGAUCUAUGCAUUGAUAAAUAUUCAGUGGCUUAAUCUCGUUGAAAAAAUUUGAUUAGUAGAUCAGAAGAAGGUAUAUUUGUUUGUUUUUUUUUUGUGGCUCGAUUCGGAUCACGCAGGUUAGAUUAGGAUGCAUUUUAUUUUUUUUUUAAAAUAAGAUAUUUAACAUGGAUUUAGACUUUUCUAUCAAAGAAACGGUACAUGUAAAAAGUUUCUUAUUAACGAGAUAAAUUUAACCACAAAGUAUGACAUUGAAGGUAAAUUUGACCCCAAAGUAUGAUGAAGGAUAUAUCUAAUCAACUUUUUAAAAUAGAGAGAUAAAUUUGGCUCCAAAAUAUGUAGUGAGGAUAGAUUUAACCCAAAGUAGUACUUUAGGGUAUAUUGAUCCUUUCCCCUUUUUUUUUUUUUGCAAAUGAGCUACUUUCAUUAUUAAAUAUUAAACAAACCUAGAAGAAAGAUUGAAUAAACAUCAUAAAUAAAGUUAAAACUAGAAAAAAAAAAAAAACAAAUUAAACAAGAAGAAAAAAUACUGUAAUAUCCUGAUUGUGGACAUGCACGUAAUUUUAUAGAAAUAACACAAUAAGUUUUUGUACAAUUAAAAAAAAGAUAGUUUUCCUUUUGGUUAGUUACACAGCAAGUAGGAUAAGCAAUAGUGUCGUAAUCUAAGGACUUGGGAUUGAGCAAGCUUCUUAUCCCUAACACUAUUGAUUUGUAUGAAAUUUGAAUUUUUUUCAGCAAGAAGCCUAUUUGUGUUAAUAAAAACAACAAUAUUAACAUUGAUUAAUUCAUAAUAAAUAGUAGGCCAUUUUAUACACGGCUAUUUAAGUUAUCAAAAUCGAUUUUUUUUCCCAAUUAUCUAACAAGUAGGAGUUUGACAAUUUUUUGCUCAUCUUGCUGUUACUUUCGCCUUCUUCGCCUCCUCAUCAUGAAGAAAACUAGCUAAUAUGUAUGACUCUACAAGUAUUGCAACUUGAUCACAGUAAUUUUGAAUAUGGAAUUAAUUUUUACAACUUCGAUCGUAUACCAAAAUUUAGUUCUGAAAAUAACUAUAUUUUAUGUGUCUAAAUUUUUCUGCUUCCUCACUCGUGUAAGAGCCAAGUAGUGUAGUUAAUUUGAGUUUGGAACUUUGAUGAAAUUAAUUAGUGCCUGUUUGGGAUUACUUAUUCCCCAAAAUAAGUAUUUAUUUUGAGAAAAUAAUAUUUUUUUGAAGCAGAAAAACUGUUUCUACUUAUUUUUAAAAGCACAUUUACAAGUUGACCAAACACUCUUUUUUCUUUAAAUAGCUUUUCAAAAAAAGUAGAAGCAGAAAAUUAUUUUUUUAUGACAAAAAUAUCCUUAUCAUACAAACAGAAAUAUAUAUAUAUAUUCCUUAUUAAUUAAUUAACAUAUCUUACAAGUUUGAUUAACGUCUGAUUUUUAAAAUUUUACAUUUCAUAUUUACGCAAUAAUGUUUUAUGAUUAAUAUAUUGUUAUUCAUUUUCACUCAUUUUCUUUAAAUAAAUUUGAAAAUAUCUCUGAUGAUGAUGACUAAAGAAUAUAUAAUUUUUUUAUUUUUUAUUAUUAAUGAUAACAAUUGACAGAUGAAUCACGUUACAAGAUUGUAUUUUGGCAGCACAUAUAAAUUUUCUCGAAUGUUUAAUUUUUAAUAAAUAAUUCAUGAAAAGUGGCAUUUUUGUUACAUUGUAGUGUAUAUAUAUGAUUAUGAUGAUUGCUUAUUCGUAGUAAAUUUUAACACAGUAAAAAUAUAUCCAAAAAAAAAAAAAAGAUAACAAAUAAUAGAUAGAAUUUUAUUUUAAAUAUUUGCUAUCGUGUAGUAUACGUAUAUGAAUGUGAUUACUUAGUUUUAGAAUUGACACGGUAAAAAUAUAUCUAAAAAAAAAGGAACAAAUAACAGAUAUAAUCUCAUUUAGAUAUUUGUAACAUGUUGUGCAUGAAAUUCAAAUAAGACUUUCAAUUUUUUUCACUCCAGUUUGAGAUGUACAAUUGAACAAAUAUUUGGAGUUUGGAAAAAUAAAUUUGCUCUCCUACGUUCAAUGUCAUCUUUUAAAUUCGACACUCAAGUUCAUCUUGUUACAACUACUAUGGCUAUACAUAAUUUCAUAUGACAACGCUCUACUAUUGAUAAAGAUUUUAACUAUUAUGCUAACAAAGACAUCAUCACAAGGAUCGAAGAAGUAGACCAACCUUUUGGUAUACCUUUAGAAAUAUAAGACAGAUCUCCUACUAGUAUGAAGAUAUUGCGUAGUAAAAUUAGAAAUGAAAUCGUUGAGAAUUUUGUGAUGUGUGAAGGAUUAAUUAUUUUAUUGUUAAUUUUUUCAGAUAUAGUGAUUUAAUUUAUGAAAUGAUUUUUAUAUUCAUUUUUGCUGGAUGUUUUUAAGUAAUAUUUGAAUUAUUUAAGUAAUGUAUCAAAGUACGUACUUUUUAAUUAAAUAAAAAAUUAAUUAAAACUAUUGUAAUAGAUAUUUAACAUAAAUUUUCUCUAUAAAUUAAUUUUAAUAAUAAAAGUCUAUUGAUAAAUUCCCUUUUUGGUCAUUUGUUUCAAAAAAGAAUUUCUUAAAAAAGAUUAUUCAAACACAAUUUGUUUAUCAAAAAUACUUUUCAAAUGAAUUUACCAAACACAAUUUUUUUUUUUAAAAAAAACACUUUUCUGAAAAGUUACUUUAUAAAAGUACUUCUCAAAUAAGCAGUUUUGUAAUAGCAAUUACAAACAGACUCUUUAGGUGUUACUUCCUGGUCUAAAUUGGAUAUUUAUUUUAUUAUUUUCAACCUAUUGCAUAUAUACAUACAUAAAUAUUAUUUUUAAGAAAAUAGUAUUACUAUUAUUACUUAUACAUGCAUGUGCAAGAAAUAAUUUAUGAUAGCAUUGGAUGACACCUUUUAUAAGUGAAAGUUGUCUAUUUGCAACUACAUGUCAAUGUAACUAGCAAUCUCACCUUCCUGGUCUAAAUUGGAUAUUUAUUUUAUUAUUUUCAACCUAUUGCAUGUAUACAUACAUAUUAUUUUUAAGAAAAUAGUACUACUAUUAUUAAUUAUACAUGCAUGUGCAAGAAAUAAUUUAUGAUAGCAUUGGAUGACACCUUUUAUAAGUGAAAGUUGUCUAUUCACAAUUACAUGUCAAUGUAACUAGCAAUCCCACCUUCAUGGUCUAAAUUGGAUAUUUAUUUUAUUAUUUUCAACCUAUUGCGCACAUACAUACAUAUUAUUUUUAAGAAAAUAGUACUACUAUUAUUAAUUAUACAUGCAUGUGCAAGAAAUAAUUUAAGAUAGCAUUGGAUGACACCUUUUAUAAGUGAAAGUUGUCUAUUCGCAACUACAUGUCAAUGUAACUAGCAAAUAACAAUCUUCUUUUGUCUGUCCAUUUGUGUCUUGCUUAAUGUUGAGGUUUCUUCUAAUUAUAGUUGUACUAGUAACUAAUGAGAAAUUAAAUGGAUUAGUACUCGUAAUUAAUGAGUUUACCGAUAACACUGGUAAAAGAGGAAGAGAGCCUUCUAAUUAACUUCUUGUUUAGCCUUUCAACUUAUAAUUAGAAUAUGACUUACUUUCUGGCGUUGUGCUAAAUUAAUGCAAAUUGGUCAUGAUAAGCCAAUGUACAAAAUUUGCAGAGGAGCACAUGAUGUGCUUUAAGCCAGAGGCAGUCAAAUCAUCAUUCAUCCCACUUAGAUAAAAGUAGACCCCCUAGUACACCUCACGGAGUGGCACUCUUUUUUAGGGGCGGAGCUAGGCACCCAGAUAUGAGUUCUAUCGAACUCAAUAACUUUUACUCAAGUUGUGUAUAUGUGUUAAGUAGUUCACUAAAUAUAUUGAUAAAUAUUAAGUUUAGAAGCCAGUUAAUAUAAUUACUUGAAGUCGUAUUUUUAUAAUCCACAACCCAUAAAGUUAAAAUUGAGCUCCGCUUCAUUUUUUUUUUCUAAGUAAGACUGACUGAUGACACUUUUAAUGAGAAAAGGAUUUACUUUUAUCUUAGUUAAUACACACAAACGCAAAUAAUCACAUAGUUAAGAUGUGACGGUUUCUUCCAUCUCUUGAUUUUUUCCAUGUGUGAUUAUAUAGCUAUGGUGUUUUAUUCCAUUAACGGUCCUACAUAGAAUAAUUCUUGUAGCUGUUCGAAAAAGGUGAUUCCUUGAACUUUUUGUCUUUGAAAUGAACAUAGGGCAUAUGUCCCAAUCCCAAGUUAAUUAAAUGUUUGAUAAAGAACAGGCAAAAGUUAGAUAGCACUAGAUCAGAUGCCAUUGAAUGAAUAUUUGCCAAUUAGUGAACUUGGAAAGAUUUAGAUUGUAAAACAGUGAUUCGAGAAGAUCUUUUGAGGAACAAAAUUAAAGUAAAUUGCAUUAGAAAACUUGCACAACAACAGUUCACUUCUUUGCUUCUUAUUAAUGAGGGGCAGGUGAUGAAUUUAAUCAUAGUGAAUGGUGGAUAGAUAUUUCGUGGGCAUCAAAAUUAAAAUUUUUGAAGUUAAAGUUGUGUUUGUUCAUGAAUAUAAUUGGAGUUGUUUUUAAAUUUUUGUGAGAGAAGAAGAUAAAAAGAAGGGUGAAAAUAGCUUUUUUUAUAUUUUUCAGUUUUUCAAAUUCAACUCCAAAUACUUGAAAUUGAAUUUGACAUAAAAGCAAAAAUUAUUUCCGGAGAAGUGAAAUAUUUUCUAUGAAUGCGCUUUUGUUUUUGUGUUGUUGUGGUGGAGUCCAGUCAUUCUGAAUUCUAUGUUUUGCCCAAGCAUUUUCAGUGGAUUCCACCUGGGCCCUCUCACUCAUGGCAUUGCCAGUGUACUAAUCAAACAAUAUAUUCUUCAGUCAAAUUGUAUUAAUUUAUUACUAUAACUAAUUAUGUUGAUAAAACAACUACUCCCAUUGAUUAUUAGUUAAUUAUAACUAAACCAAAGAAAUUUAUAUGUCAAUACAUUCCGCUCAAAGUAAGUUUCUACCUUUUUCAACUCUAAUUACUAAAUUCACAACCAAAUUGUUUUCGUACACGAAAGCAAGUUGCUAAUGGUACAUCGAAACAAUCUGCAAAAUUUGCACUGUAUGUUUUGUUAAGGAUUAGGGACAUGAGAGAUUUUAAAUUAUUCAAUUGAAUAUAAUUUUUAUCUACUGUAUAAAAUACAACGAAUUUUUAUGUCAAUCGGCUGCCUCUAUGUCAGAUCACCAAUCUAUGCUCUAAUACAAUCUCUAUUUAUUUUGCAAUUAACUUUGAUUAUUCAAAGUUAGCUCACAACAUAAAAUAGAAUUUAAACUUUAUAUGUAGACGAAAAUAAGAGUAAUUAAUCCUCGUAUGCAUCUAGACAUCUACUACUAACGUGAUUUCUUUACUCUGCCUCAACAUUGAGGGCUCAUUUAGUAUACAAAAUGUGAUAAAUAAAAAUACAAUAAUUAUAUAUUCGGUAUAUUUUUACGUAGUGAAUUUGGAAAGGAUAAAAUAUACACGAUUAAAUGAUAUUUUGAUAUAUUUAAUAUAGCUUUAAUUUAUGAUCAUAAAAUUUAAUUUUUUAACUAUUUUAAAUUACGUGUUAAAUCAAAUCAAUUUUUUUUUUUUUUUUUAAAAAAAACAGAAGAGUGUAAAAAUGAUACACCAUUAAUUAUUAUCCUUAUCUCACUAUUAAAAUUACGCAAAGUUCCCGCCGCGUGUAGAAGUCAAAGACUGUAUUCACACAAUCCCUUCAUCUUCCCCCUCUCUCUAUUAAAUAGUGCGGAGAAACUCUCACUUUCAUUCAGUCCACUCCAAAUAAAUAAAAGAUUGACCAAUGGAUUUUUCCAACACCCAUAAGAUGAAGAGCAGAGGUAAAUUAAUGGGACAAAGAUGGUGGAACAUUGGUUUACCUUCACUAUUUCUGCUAUGCCUUUUCUUCUUCCUUGCUGGUUUAUUCGGUUCUACUCUCGUGUCUCACCAGGUAUUCCCCCUAUUUAUUACUCUUUUACAAACAACUUCUCUGUUUUAUUUAUUUAUUUACUUACUAAAACAGUAGUUUUAAUUUAUUUAUUCGAUUUAUUGAAUAAGAUUAAUUUAUUAUAAUACAUUUCCGUUUCUAGUAAAACUGAAACGGAGGUAGUAGUUCUUAACAAAUGGAUUUCUUUAUUCUACACUUGUAUUGUACUAAUCAAAGUGUUUGUUUGGGUGUGAUAGGAUGUACUGGUACCUACUGUACGACCAAGGUCGAGGGUGCUUGAAUCUGUAGAAGAAUUUGAUCCUUUGCCCAAUGGUGAAACUGGGGAACAUUCCCUCACUUCCAUUUCCUUUCAGGUAUUUUUUUUUUUUGUUCAACUCUCAAAUUUCACUUUGGGGAUUUCUUUUCUGUUUCCUGAAUAGCUUCUGCUUCAAUUUUUGUUCCUUCGGAAUUGGUAGUCAAUCCUAUUUCUGAUAGGGGCAAUUGACGAUUGAAUUAGAUUUUACCAUUAUUUUCAUAUCCUUAAUAGUCCGUUUCAGUUCUAAACUCUUUUGUGUUAGGGAAAAUUGUACACUAGAAUAAUCAACUAACUGGUCUUUUAUGCAUUCAAAAGGUUGGAUUUUUAACUUAUAUUAGUUCGUCAAGAUUUUCAAUUGUUAUUAUUUGACUAAAUGGUAAACCCCACCUCUCAAACCUACCAGGGAUCAACAGUUCAACAAGAUGUUUGAUGUGAUAGUGAUGAUCAAUGCUCAAAAUGACAUGAUUUUAGUUUUGAACUGGUCCCAGUUUAUAAUUACAUGUGUGUGUUGUUGCUAUGGGCAAUUUGUCUCCUGGAUUUGCACUUUUGUUUUGUUGAUAUGUGCAAUUUGUAUUUUGAUAAAUCAACAGUAACAUUUCUUGAUUUUGUUGCCUCUGGUGCAACUUUUUGUUACCGCUGAAGUAACAAAUUGAUGUUCUUUUUUUUUUUUUUUUUGGGUAAGACAAAUGAGUGAUUAAGAAAACUUAGAAAAUAUACCCGUCCUCCAAUUUCUAUUAUUCUACCAUUUCAUAUACUAAUUUUAUUUUUUAAGUCUAUCCACAUAGGAGUUUUGGUUGUAAAUGACCAUGUUAGCUUCCUAAACUUUCCCCUAAUCUGGUAGAAAAUUUAUAUAUGGAACUCAUUGACUCUGCUCCGCAUUAGUAUUCAUUCGUUUUGGUGUAUCUUAUAUGAGAUUGACUUCAACCUUUUGGGUAGGUCUUAAGCUGGUUCCCGCGUGCAUUAUACUUUCCCAAUUUUGCAACUAUAGAACAAUGUCAAGCCAUUAUUAAGAUGGCAAAGGCGGAAUUGAAGCCAUCAUCUUUGGCUCUCCGCAAAGGAGAAACAGCAGAGAAUACCAAAGGAAUUAGAACAAGGUAAACAGUACUCUGAGAGCUCUAUGUGUCUUGAUUGAAAUUGGUGGUUUUUCAUGAAUGCAACCUUUUUACUCUUUCCAAGCUUUGGUUGAAAAUUUCUUCAAUUAUUUUCAUGAAGAGUUGCAAAAUUUCUUUGGUUAACUCUUAAUCCACUCAAUUAUUUUCAUAAUAUCUAUUUCUGGUAGAUAAGAUCAAUAGGUCACCACAUCUGGGUGUGUUGAUGUACAUUUUCUACUUUUUUUGGAAGAUAAAACUGUUCAGGGUACUUGAACUGGUCAUGUGUCUCUGUCUCUUUUCUGGUCUUCUUUUUAAAUGUUUCUUUGAUCUAUUUUAAAGAACUAACUAUCUGAUAGAAGUUUGCCUCCUCUUUUGGGUUUUACAAGAAGUAAUGAUUCUUGCAUGGACUUUACAUUUUUGGCCUUUUCCACAGUUCUGGUAUGUUUAUCAGUGCAUCUGAAGACAAAACUGGAAUUUUGCACCUCAUUGAGGAGAAAAUUGCAAAGGCAACUAUGAUCCCUUCGACACAUGGAGAGGUAAAUUUCAUUUAAAGCAAACAUCUUAAAUGUAACGCAUGAAGCGAUUCUUAGUAAGUUAGUUUUAUAAUUCCGUCCACAUGUGAGAAAUAGUAUCUUGACGGAGGACAUGCUUGUCGUAUUAUUUGUGGAGAAUCCUUCCUUCCUCUUCUACAUCAUCUGUUUCCUUGAAAACUAAGUUGAUUCAAGCUCUGGUAGUACUUUUGUAAAAUUCCAGAGUAUUAUAUUAGUGUUUGUAGGUCUCCACUAGGCAAUGCAUCCUUCCGAUAGUGUCCAAUACUGAAGAGAACAAGUCUUUUGGUGUUAGAGGUAAAUAUUAACUGUUUGUACGAUCACAUUUUUUUACCAGAUUCAAGGCCAUUUAUAUCAAGCACAAAGUUGGGUGAUUUCGAAUAUAUUAUGGCCAUUGUAUUCUUUUGCACCUCUUAUCUGAAAAUUUAAAUGCAUUUGUUGUGGAAAAACGGAAUUUGUCCGGCAUUUUUUUUGACAGACCAGUAUGUGUUAGCGAUUGUGAAAAUGAAUGGACACUUCAAUGAUCAUAGACUGGAAUGAUGUGAUAAGUUUUUGUCCGAAUCAUUCACAUCAUAUAUUAAUAUGGAUUUCUUACAAAGAUUUCACAUUAGAAUUUAGUUCUAUGCAUGUGAAAGAUCCUAUGUCUAUUUCUAUUGGGAUCUUUUUUGUUACAAGUUUACUUAUGCAAAAGAGCUCAUUCAAUUUAGUUGAGCGUUUGUGUUCUCUUCUAUAUGAACUAUCCAACUGUCACAUGGUAUAGUUUAUGUGUAUUUUCAUAAGAGACCUUUUUGAUAACAAAAUCAUGAGGCAACAGUUCAAGGUGUUCUGCAUUUUAACAGGAAGGUUAGAGAAACUGAGCAUCUGUUGCUGUUGUAUACUUUAAUUUAUAGUUGGGGAAAUCUGUCUUCAGAAUAUUAUCUGAAAAUGAUGGAGUUCUUUGGCUGGAACCCCGGGAUAUUUGUUCGAUUUCCCUUGGACUUUAAGUUAAAUGCGAUGAUGCAAAUAAUAUGUGCUAUGUACCUUGUGCAUUCAAUAAUUUGAUAACUAGUCAGGCUGUUAACCCUUUGUAUCUGAACUUUCUUUUAAUUUCAAUUACUGAUUCUGAAUGAUUUUUCUGUUAAUGAGAGCACUAAGUAUGGUGUACUCUGUACUGUGAUUGUUAUUGCUGUUUAUCUUGAAUCAGUUGACCUGUGUGUUUUUCAGGCAUUUAAUGUGCUGCGGUAUGAAAUUGGCCAGAGUUAUCAUUCGCAUUAUGAUGCGUUCGAUCCUGCUCAAUAUGGUCCUCAGAAGAGCCAAAGGGUAUGCACAAUCUACUUUGGGUAAAUUGUUGCUGUUAACUUUUUCAAUUUACUUGUUGAUUUUCUAGUAGCUCAAAUUAAUCUUACACAAACUGGCAUAACGAAUGGAUCAUUGAUUUUAGAUUUCCGUUAUUUGGAUAAGAUGGUGUUAUUUUCAAAUGCAUGGUUCUUCCAAUCCCUCUCCCCCCAAAAUAUUUUAAAAGAUGGAAAGAAGUGUGUUUGAAGCUAUGGUUCCAAAGGCACGAGUUUGCAGAUUCAUUGCAAUGACUCAUUUGCUUACAUGGAAUCACCACGGUCUGAUGUCUGGGUAUCCACAAGCUCGUUGCUUUCCUUCCAUUUAGUACUUUGUGGAACUCUCUAUGUAGAUUUUUUUUCCGUUUAAAUAGAAUUCUCUUUUGAAAUGGUCUUGAUCUCCAAGCAAUACAUGCUUUAUUCCGGAUUCAACUGAUAUCUCCAAAUCUGGAAUAAUCUUUGUGACCAGUUUCUAUUGUCUGUCUGAAUUUGUGUACUGGGAUAGAAUUGGUAUUAGCAUUUUCCUGCUUGUUUUAUCAUGUAAAAUCACCUCCCUUUAAUUUAAUUACCACUGCCAGACCAAAAUUUUUCCCAGCAUGUCGACCAGCUGUCUUCAGGUUUUACUAUUUGAAAAUUUUAUAUUUUAUUGGACUAAACAGACAAAAAAUUAUCAUUUAGCGUUCCUCUUGUUAGACCUUUUUUUCUUGACUACUCUCUGAGCUGUCAGACCCAGACAAGCAAUACAGUUUUAUCCUUGAUAUGCAUUACUUUUUCUUUUCUUUUCCCCCUUUUUGAUGAAAAAGUUCUGAUAUCGGCCUGGUUCCUUCGGAACCAUCAUGUGGAAGUGUUAAGAGCAAGUGUUCUAAACAUCGACUCUACAAAGCUGAUGAAGUUUGAUAUGCGAAAUUUAGCUCAAGUUGCAGUUAAUUUUGAGCAACGAUUAUUUUCAGGUGUCCAGACUAAAAAUAAUGCAUUUUCAUUUAGGUUGCAUCCUUUUUAUUAUAUUUAUCUGAUGUGGAAGAAGGUGGAGAAACCAUGUUCCCUUUCGAGGUGAGUUCAAAAUUGAUUCUUCUUUCAUGGACUGCGUUUCUGCCUCUCGUGUUGUGUAAACUGUAAACUAGUCCUUUGGUUAAUCUACAGAGUGGGCAGAAUAUGGAUGCUAAUUAUGACUUCCGUAAGUGUAUUGGUCUGAAAGUGAAGCCGCGUAGAGGGGAUGGACUACUGUUCUACUCGCUGUUACCAAAUGGUACAAUUGAUCCGGUGAGUUUUUCUUGUACAUUCCAUGUUAUCCAUGUAAGUUGUAUUUAUUUUCAUACAAAAAAGUGUGAUCCUUUGGGGUUUUGGGUGGGGGUUUGUACAUUAUCCACCUUGUACUGAAUCGUGUGCCACUAGUCUCGAGGAUUUUUCUGAUAUAUAAAAAAAAGAAGCGUUGGUGUGAACUAUAUUUCGCCUUUUUCUUUAUUGUGAUUAUCGGGUUAUCAAGAUGAAAUGAAUAGUAUAGAGUGGGGAUAAAUGGUGCAGUUAUGAAAAUUUUAUCAGCAACAGGUUAGUUGGAACACAAGGUAAACUUUCUAAACCCUUUAGCAACGCUGUAUAACAUCAUGUGGAGAGCAGUUCUUGCAGCAUUUAAAGUGAAAAAAGGGUUAUGAAAUUCCUACGUCUUCCCGAUAUCUCUCUCUGUGUGCUUUGGCUAUUGUUUUUUGUUUGUCUGGCUGUGUGUAUUCUGCGGGAACCGUUUUUUAUCAAUCCUAUUACUUUGUUCCUAUGAUAAUGUUUAUUGAAGAGGGUUGCUGUGGUACUGCUAAACGUUUGUGCUACUGUGAUUGAUUAAUCAGUAUGAAUGGGAGCCCAUCUUAGGUACUGGCUCAUUGCACGGAUCCUGACGAUACAGGUUAUAAUAUUGGUUGUCGUAUGCCAUGUAUUACUGUUCCAUUUUUCUGUGGCUUAUACUGGUUACAAAGCAGAAUAAUGAUUACCAACAUUAUGUCAUACUGCUCAUGUUGGCUUGCAAUUUCUCACAUUUGUAAAUCUCUAAUGCAGACAUCUCUUCACGGGAGCUGUCCAGUUAUCAGAGGUGAAAAAUGGGUUGCCACAAAGUGGAUCAGAGAUCAAGAAAUGGAUGACUAAACGAGGACAUGUCUCCAAGUGGUGUUAAUAUUAUUCUUUGGUAAUUUAGUGUAGUAACUCACUAGGAGUUUGGAAACGAAUUUUGCAGUAAAUGUAUCUACAAGAAAAGUUCAUAUAUCUAUCUUUACCCUUCAUGAAUUUUUGCCCCUCCAAACCCCUACCAGUUCACUCAUGUUUUCAUUUUUCCCAACCUCAAUUCUGUUGAUCAGUGGAGUACUUCUCUCAAUGACUUUUUAAUUUUAUUACAACGAAAGGAAACUAAUCAAGGCAUCAAUAUCCUCCCUCCAGUAGAAAUUAUUAAAAAAGAAAACGUUAAGUCCCACCUUCGGUAGGUGCAAAACUAACUGUGAAGUGUACAAGAUAAUAGUGUUUAUCCGCAACAAAUAUAAACAAAAUUGCUUUUAAUUUGCCCUCCUAUCUCUUCCUGGAAAAAUAUAAAAAAAAAUUAAUUUAAUUUUUUUUACUAAUCAAAAGUAAAAUACAAUAAAUAUUGUAUUUAAUUUUAAACCAUUGCAAGAUGAAAAAAAGAGAUGUUGCCUUUGGAGUAGCAAUUUACAUGGCUUAGAAACAAUUUAUUUUAUUGGCUGAACAUGGACGUAGCUUAGCAUUUAGGAAAUGCUUACACCUCAUCCAACUUCCUGACACGAAAACAAACACGCGUCAACACCAUAUCAUUAACACAAAAACUUAUAUAUAUAUGAUGCAAAACUAUUCGAAAAGAACAAAAACAAAUGCAAAUCCAAAGUUGAUUUGACAGAGUAUUUUAUAGACGGAGAUAAAAAGCAAAACUGCAAAUUUAUACAAAUGGAGAAACAAACAGAUAGUAAUAAGGGAUGUAUAGAUAACAGUAAGUUGGAAGGAUUGCCAGUGGAUACAAGUCCUUAUACACAGUAUAAGGAUUUGGAAGAUUACAAGAAACAAGGGUAUGGAACACAAGGCCAUCAACAGCCAAAUCCUGGGCGUGGUGCUGCCAGUUCCACUGACGCCCCCACACUUGCUGGUGGUGGAUCUGCCUCUGCUCAAUCUCAGCUUUCUGCUACUGAUAACAUCAAUCGUCAGGGUGUCCCUUAGUUUCCUUGAUGUCUACAACAUGUGUUACAACUUACAACUAAUGUCUAGGCAUAUAAUAAGAUCAUAUUUGUUUUGAGUUAGCGGUUCUACAUCUUAGAUUAGUCUCUGUUUGGUGUUGUUUGCGUUGUUCCGUUAUGUUUCAUUUUCUUGGUAACUUACUAUAUCUAUUUUAAAGAAUAUAUAUAAUUGCAUAUUUAGGGGUUCUUAAUUAUGUUUUCAUGAGAUUAAUCCAAGUCGUGGUUUGUGGCUGAUAGGGGUAAAGGACAAGUUCUUACUGCCUCCUUGAAUUUGCAAGUUCAUUGGGAUUAAAUCAGUCUAAACAUAAUAAGAUAAGGUGUGAUAUUGUCUGUUUUGUGUCAAGCUGCAUGAUUUUUCUUGAAAUAGCUUUUCAAUCUUUUUAGCUGCGAGCCUUUUUUCACACAAUCAAACGGUGUUAUGAUUAACCAUGAAUGGACCUUUAAUAGAAGGUAUAUUUGUAAAUCGUUAGCAUCAUUAGCUAAAUCUUGGUAAGAUCAAUAUCAUAAGAGCGAAGAAAUGUUCUUUCAUCUUGGAGUCUAAUAAGCCACAUACAAUUAACUCUUAGCGUGUGGUGUUCUUCCAUUAUUCAAAAUAUAACAAGCAAUGCGAUAAAUAUGAUUAAGUACGUUCGUAAAUCGUCUUCGGUAUUCUGAAUAAAGUACGUUCCUUCAUGGUUAAAACGAAAAUACAUUUCUUACUAAAAUUAAUUUGAACAUCACAUUAAGAAACGAACAAAAAUGUAUGAAUGGAAAGAAGAACGUAAAGUUAUCAUGGAAAGUGACAUUCACUAAAUAAUAUAAUCGUCGUUAUUAUGCUCUUGUUACACCACUAACUAUGAUUGAACGUUGCGUUCGCCGUCAAUAUUUAUAAAAUUAAACAGUGUUACGUACCAAUGUUUGUCAUUUAAAGAGUCUUUAAUAUAUAUUUCAUUUAUGGUCCAAAUUUUGGCCCCAGUCCAUGAUAAUCAUUUUUCACCUAAUCUUCAAUAUGUUGUCUCGUCCGUCGUUUUCUAAAAAGUGGAGAAUUAGCAAGUUAAAUUUACAGCGUUCUUGAUCUUCUUCAGUUACAAAUUCGUAAUUUAUUUCCUUUUUUGCCUUUCGAGUGGAAAAAACACUAUUCUUAAAGGAGAAAUAUGAGUAGGUAUCCGUCCUAAAAUCAACUAAAUUUCAUUUAUGAACAUCUUCCCGUAAUUGCCAGCUACAUUCUAAAAUUAGAAAUUUCUUUUGUUAAUAUUGCAAUUUGAUCAACUAGAGUGAAAGCUAUCAAAUAAUAGAAACCUUCAGUGAUACUUAAAUUAGAUUGAUGUGACUUAAAAGUGGCCAUCUUUAGUUAUUUGGAAAUUGUUGCUUCCUGUCCAGGUGAAAAUAUGGAGUAUUUCAACUUGCUCAAUAUAUAAAUAUAUUUUCAUAAGUUUGUCGGAAUACUUUAUUUACACACUUUUUGAACUGAAAAUACUUUGUUCAACGUUUUAGUUAUCCAUUAGAUAGUUAAGUUAAUCAUAUAAUAUAUGAAAAUACUUUGUUCAAUGUUUUAUUUAUCCAUUAGAUAGUUAAGUUAAUUAAAUAAUAUAUAUCUCCUCUUUAAUUAUAGGUAUCAAUAUCAAGUAGGAAAUGCUUGAGAUUUCAUUCUUUUAUUCAGGUGAAAACAUAAACUAAAGAACAUGAUAUAUUUUAUGUAAAUAAAUAGUUACCUAAUAAACGAAAAUGAGAAAACCCGCAAAAUCAAUUCCAAAAUUUGAAUAAAAAUGUAUAUAAUUAAAACAUUUUAUUAAAAAUCGAGUUGUUCAAUUAAAACAUUGAUUCUGAGUGUUUAAACUGAAUACGUAUUAUGACAAAUUUAAUAGGUUGAUCAUGUAUUGGGCCAUUUCAAUUUAUAAAGAUUAGCUGCUAAGCUCACGAAAUUUCCACCAGACUCGAUAGACUAAAGGAAAUAACCUUAAUUAAAAAGAGAUAUAGGAGCAUCGUCUUUUUCGACCGACACAAUAUGUCAAUACUAUAUCAAUUGACAAAUUUCAAUUAGAUGGGAAAAUAAAAAAUAAAUAAAAACAGAAAUAGUAAAAAGUAAAAAACAAGCUAGACAGAACCACUAGAAAAAAACAAGCUAGACAGAACCACUAAGCUCUUUUUGUGGUAGAAAGAAGCUGGUGACCUGUGGCCAUACGUUGCCUAAAGAGCAGGCAAACAAGACAAGUAGAAUAUUAAGAGACCAAGCAAGAUUCACAAUUUAAGAUCACAAGCUUUCCAUGAAAGAACAUUCAUUUCAAUUCACCAAAUCAAAUACUUUAUCUUAGUUUUAAUAAUAUACUCAAAUCUUUUUUUUCGUAGAGAAGAUUAUGUUUUGCCCUUAAUUAUUUUAUUAGUGCAACAAACAAAACAAUACCUUAUAGUAAAACAAAACAUUACGAAAUAUCUUUAAAAAGCUAUCCAUAACCACCGAACCUUAUCCCCCUUAACCACUCACAAAGUAACCUUGACACAACAAAAAAAAACUCACCGAACUUUUUAAAUUCCUUCCCUCAAAUAUUUUAGUUGUCUCUAUCAAACAUUACAAUCUGCCUAUUUAUAUGAGCAUAAAUAGAGGAAGUUGCGUGGCAUUGCAUAAAUAUAUAAUUAUCUUGAUUGCGAUUUGUGUUGUCACAUUCUUCUUAAUAACGACAAUAGCCAUACCAAAUAUUAUGUCUAGUGGUUCAACUCACCAUUCAAAGUCGAAACAACAAAAAAAUCCUUUCAAAAUUUCAAAAAAUAUUGCAGCCAAAUCUAUAUAUUAAUACCUUUCAAAUGCAUGCAUUGUUAAAUGAAAGCAGUCCCCACCACCAUCUUCACUCUUCCCAAGUAGUAAUUCAGAAGUCCCAAAAUUCAUUUUUCUCCACAAUAAUCAUUUGAAAGGCAUAGUAGAGACUUAAAAAGCUCCACGCUCUGCCUAGAAAAAAAAAGGCCGGCUUUAUUUGUACCCCAAUAGUAUUCUUGACUUACAAACAAGAAACGAACAUUUUUUUUAAUCUGUUGUCGCCUGCAACCUUAUUCCUUUACCUCCCAUUUGUCUCCCUCUUUAUUAUAACUGUCCUCUUUCAACUAUUUUUCUAUCUACAUCGACCACUGUUGUGAACAAGAACAAGAACAAGAAGAAGAAAAAACAUGAUGAAAAUUACUAAGGAAAAGGAAGAAAGCGAAGAAAUUGUUCUCCUUAAAGAACAAGAGGAGGCAUUAGAAGACAAAGACGACGACGAAGAAGAAGAAGCAUUGUCAUUGUGUGAUCUUCCGAACAAUGAAGAGAACCAAACGAAGAAAGAAGGUUCUGGAAGUACUGGUGAAGUUCAAUCAGAAGAUUUUGAUUUUGCCUGUUGUGGUGGUAAUUUGUUGAAAGAAUCAGAAAUGUGUACGGCAGAUGAAAUUUUCUACCAAGGCCAAAUUUUGCCCCUGCGACAUUCAAUUAGUUUGCCAAGUGAUCGGCGCAAUUGUCAUGAAACAAAUUCAAGUAGUAGAAGUAGCAGUAUUCGAAGCCAACGUUCAUCUAGCAGUGGCAGUUCUUCUAAUCUCAACACGAAAUACUACAAGCCUAAGAUUCGAAAUCAGUUCCACUCCCAUCCUAGUCCGACACCUCAGGUUCGAUUUUCAAAGGUUAAUAUUCAAUCAAACGUUAACAAUUCAGGUAGAAAAUCAGCAUUGUGGAGUCUUUUUCGUGUUGGUCUAGUAACACCACCUGAAAUUGCAUUACAAGAUCUUAAAAAAAGAGGAAACAGGGGCAAUUCAGGAAGUCGAAACAGCACCAGUAGCAGCAGCAGUGGAAGCUUCAGCAAUACGAAUAAUAAUACGACGAGAACUAUACUAAGCAAGAAAAAGAGACAGAGGUUUUCUUUUGGCAGCUGCAAGUGUUCAGCAAAUUCAGUAGAAACAGUACUUCCUUCAAACGUCGUAAUCACAAACAAGAAUAAUGCAACAAGAAAGGUAACAGGGGUCCAUGAUGAACAUGAAGAUAAGAAAGAUUCAUCAGAGGAGAAUAUCAAAGCAACAAAAAAGCAAGCAAUGUCACGCCAUCGAACGUUUGAGUGGUUAAAGCAACUUUCACUAGAAGGUCCAUCUGAUGAAACAUAAAGAUUUUUCAAAAUAUCACGCAUGCUUACCUUGUUUUUUCUUCUUCUUUUGCUUCUUCUUUUAUGUAAUGUAAUGUAACUUUUUGUUACGUGCUUAGAUUGGUCUUUCUUUUUUGCUUUUUUGAGUAGUGGAAUCAUGAAGUUGAAGUAAUUGAGGACGCAAUUGUCAUGUAAAAAGAAAAGAGUACUAAAGCUAAGGUGUUUGAUGUGAAUUGUGAUUAAAUAAUUAUCAUUGCUUUUUGUCUUUGAGGGUGGGAAGAUUUGUUGUUGUGUGACAAAAGGCUAUGUGUUCAAACUCAUGUAAACAUGUUCUUGUAAAAUAUAGCAAUAGAAUCUUGUGGUUCGCUGUUUCUUUGGGCACCAAAGGUGGAUAAAGUUGUUGUCGUGCGAUAUAAGGCUAUCACUACUAGAAUUUCGCUAUUUUCUGAUCGAAAAUUUCGACGAAAAAAAAUUAGUCAGAAAUUUCCAACUACUUCAGUCGGAAAAUUUACUUUUUUAUUACUUUAUUUUAUAAAAUAUUUUCCCGAUAUUAUUUGUGACUAAACCAGUCAUAAUAUUUAGCGGUAAAUUGCGGAAAAUAUCUGUUCCGACUGUUAUAGUUGGAAAUAUAAAUAAUUAAAUAAAAAUAUUAAUAAAUAUAUAAUUAUACCCUUAUACAAAAAUUAAAUAAUAGUUUAAAUAAAUUAUUACCAAUUAUUUUUCGAUCNNNNNNNNNNNNNNNNNNNNAAAUAUAAAUAAUUAAAAGUAAAUUGUUAAAUAUAAAUUUCCGAUCACUAUGGUCGGCCAUAUAAAAAAUAAAAUAAAUAAAUUAUUAAAAAUAUAAUUCCGACUACGAUAGUCGGAAAUACUAAUAGAUAAAUAAAUAUAAUAAGUUAACUAUUAAAUAUAUAUUUUCGACCAAUAUAGUCUGAAAUAAAAAUAAAAUAAAUAAAUUAUUAAAUAUAUUUCCGAUCAUUAUAGUCGAAAAUACUAAUAGAUGACUAAAUAAAUAAUCAUAUCUUAUACAAAAUUAAAUAAUUAUGUAAAUAAAUUACUAUCAAUAUAUUUCCGGCCAAGUUAGUCGGAAAAUAAAAUAAUCAAAUAAAUUAUUUAUUAGAUAUAUUUCCGACUACUAUUGUCGGAAGUAUAAAUAAUAAAUUUAAUAAAUUAUUUAAUAUUAUUUUUUAUUAUUGUAGUCGGAAAAAGUAAUACCUAUCUAAAUAAAUAUAUGACUGUAUAUAGAAAUUUAAUAAUUAAUUAAAUAUAAUAAAAAAAGUCUGACUAUAUCAGUCGAAAAGUUUAGAAAUAAUGUAACAUAAAAAAUAAACAUAUCAUAUAUCAGACUCCACUUCUCUCUCUUUAAGCCCUUUCUCUCAUUCUCACUGUCUCCUCUCUCUCUAAAUCCUAGAUUAAACACCAAAUUGAUACACCUCGCGGUGUCCGUCUCUCACUCUCAUGAUGAAUAUCUCUGAUGUUGUUAUCGCUCCUUUUGGAUUAGGAAUAGGCAGUUUUUUAAAUGUUAUGGUCUACUGUCUUAUUGACUUGUAAGUGGUUCAAACAAUAUUUUUACUCUGAUUUUUGUUUACUUUUGCAAUUCAAACUGAGAAGCGAAGAUGAAAUAGACUGUUUGCUUGAUUUUGUAGAUUCUUGCGGUGUAGUGAGUUGAUUUUGGGGUUUUGGUGUUCUUCCUUUUUUGUAGGUUUUGGUCUGCAAACUACAACUGAAACUAUAAGGAUUCUAGGAUACAAUACUUGGAUUCUACGAUUCUGUGAAGCUGUUGUCGCUAACUUCUGUUUGUCCUGUGACUGAGAAACAAGGCAAAGGUCAAGCGAAUUUCUCUGUCAAAUCUCUCUGUUCAGGUUUGGAUUUCGAUUUUAUGUUUACGGUACGUUUGAAAUUUAACUCGGUUUCAGGUGUAUACACAUGCUCUAUUCGUAUAACUUUAGCAUUAUGGAUUCAUAGUAACAUUACGUUUGAAUGAGUUGCUUUGUUUCAGAACGUUUGAUACAAACUCUGUUUCACAUAUUCAGGCAAACUGUGAUAUAAUUGAUGCGUUAAAAAUAAAUAUGUAAUGUUUAAAUCAUUUUUAUAUGAGGAGAAUUCUAGCUUACCAGCUUAGGUAUGAUUCAAUUUCAAUUCAUUUUCAGGUAGAUACCCGUGCUCUAUUCAUUUUAUUCAACUUAGCUUGUUUACAUAAUGACAAUUAUUUUUCUUCAGGAAGGAUUUCAAAAAAGCAUUGAAAGUUGGCGUCAAACCCAACCUGUUUCAGAGGAUGGUACCAUGGUCCAACCAUCACCUGAUGAUAUGAAUAGAAUGUGGACAAAUGUGGUAGAUGGUCCAAAAAAGGGUAACACCUACGGGCUUGGAGGUAACCAAUCCUCGAGUAGUUCUUCCCCAAUGCUGCCCAACUUUGCUUCUAUUUCGCAAAAUGCAAAAGAAAUGGAAACGAUGAGAACAAAAAUUGAAGAGUUGACGCAACACUGUGCCGAAUUUGCCAAGUUUGAAGCGUUAGUCAAGAAGCAUAUGCCGCAAGUAUUUGAGGAUGGGGAAGAUAGAGCAGAUGAUUAGAUUGUAGUGGUUGGUUUUUGUUUAUGAUUGUGACAUUUAAACUUAGAAUAUUAGAAUUGGUGUUUGUUUUGGAUUGUGACGUUUCGAUCGACUUGUCUUGAAAUGCUUAAACUAUUUGAUUCCGCUAUUUGUUUUGGAUGUUUCAAAAUGAUCGCAAAUAUUAAAUAAUUAAUAUAUAAGUUAAUAAAAUUAUAUAUAUUUUUUAUAAUUAUUUAUGUUAUAAUUAAUAAAUAAAAUAUUUUCGACUACAGUGGUCGAAAAGUUUUUAAAAUUUAUCAAUUCUUUCCGACAACAGUAGUCGGAACACUUUUAUUUAUUAAAUGAUUCUUUAUUAAACUUCCGACUAAAGUAGUCGGAAUUAUUUUAUUUCUUAAAUAAUUAUUUAUUAUUAUUCUGACUAAAGCGGUCGGAAGCUUUUUAUUUAUUAAAUAAUUAUUUAUUAAUCUUCUGACCAUUGUAGUCGGAAAAUUUUUAUUAGUUAAAUAAUUAUUUAUUAAACUUCCGACUACUUUCGUCGAAAUAUUUUUAUUUAUUAAAUAAUUAUUUUUAAAUAUUAAUUUAAAUUUUCCGACAGAUGUGGUCGGAAAUAUUUUUUCGACAAGCUUUUUCCCGACUACCUCUAUUCAGUCGGAAUGUGGUCGGAAAAGACUUAUUUUCCGACUACAUCCGCUGUCGGAAAAUGUCGAAUUUCUGAUAGUGUAUGAGUUCAACUCAUGUAAACAUGCUCUUAUACAAUAUAGCAAUAGAAUCUUGUGAUUCGCACUUUCUCCGGCACAGAAGGUGGAUAAAGUCAUUAUCGUGCAACAAAAGGCAAUGAGUUCAACUCAUGUAAAAGGCAAUGAAUUCAACUCGUGUAAACAUGUUCUCGUAGAAUAUAGCAAUAAAAUCUUGUGGUUCGAUCUUUCUCCGGACACAACAAAUAACUUUUUAUCUAUGAUUAAAGAAAAAGAGAAGAGCGUUUGAUGUGAAUUGUGAUUAAAUAAUAACCAUUGUUUUUUGUCAUCGAGUAAAACUAAUAAUUGAAGAUGGGAAGGCCGUGAUGAGUGGAAAGCUGUGAGUGUAGUGAAUAGAGGUGGGAAUUUUGUGGCGUGGUUGAUGAUGUUAUUGCUCGUCAUGAUUAAAGUGUGAACUUUCAUGAAUUUUGUUUACCACUUUUUGUAUGGGAGAUUUUAAUUUCCAGUCCCUUUGGGGUGCUAUUUCAAAUUUAUGUUCAACCACGAGGCUGUGAUAUUUAAGUAUUAAGUAACCAUAAAUGUGAAAGUUUGGUAUCCAAUGAAAAUUGAGAUACUUUCAAUAUCUUGCCAAGAAAAGAAAAAAUGAAAAAGAAAAUUGAGAUAUUUCUUCCAAGUUCCCCAAACAAUUAUUUCCUCCGAUCUAUUUUACUUGUGAUAUUUGUUUUUGCGUGUCCUCCCUUGGUUCACUUAGAUUUGUCCAUAAUGAACAAUUAUUCUUUGUUAAACGAAAAAAAUAUUUUAAAGCAAUUAUUUUUAAUAACAAUAACACGUAAAAUUGACCGGAAGGUUAUUCUAAUUGAUAACUUUAUUAUUCACAGGUUAAUGUAUUUUCAUAUAGCACUCAGGCACCAUAAAAGUAAGUUUGUGUCAUUUAUAGAUUUCCAUUUAAUGUUCAACCACCUUGGAGUGGCACUAAAAGGGACAAUAGAAGAGAAAUGGACCAUUAGAAAUUAGUAUAUAGUACCUGGGGAUAUUUUAUAGAUUCUCCAGAAUAAAGACUUGGCUAACAAGGACUGAUUAUGAUUGAACAGGAACCUAAACAUAUUCUUGGUUGUCAUUAUAGUUAUUUUUUGGAAGCAUUCUGUCAUUGGAUUUACUAAACAUAUGGUUUUCGUUACUCAAAACAUUCUCCGAAUCGAUUGUCUUAAAAUCAAUGGUUGAGCUCUUUGACAACUAAACACAAAUUCACAUUUCACUAAUUGUUAAAAAAGAAAAUUUUAAAAAUGAUUUACAAUUUCUUGAACAGUAAUUUACGAUGUUUAUUGUAUAUAUAUGAGAAUAUUAUAGUAUGAUCAAUAUUUAGAUAAUAUUUAGAGUCUCUAAUAUUUAUAGCAAUCUUCAUUUUUUGAAGCCUAUACCAUACAUCAACACUGACGUGUUGCUCUUUUGCUUUUAUAGGCCUGGUGUUACAGGGUCUGGCCCAAACUUACACUUCGGACUUUGUUCAGCUACAAACACUACUGUGUUCUUCCAUUUUGAGGCCUAAUUGGAAUUUUUCAAGCCUAUACCAUACCCGUAGUGAGAUCCUGACUUAUCUGGAUUCACGCUGCAUAUUACCCAUUUACGGGGGAACCCAUCCCAUCACAAGUACAAACAUUGUUGGUAAGUCAAUUGGGUUACUAAACCGAGAAAGAUGUCAGACUGAGUAACAAUUUUUAGUGUUUAAUUACAUUUGUUAGAAAGAUUAUGAUCAAAUUCCAAUAACAACAACAACAUAGUUGUUACUCAUUGUAAGCCCACAAAUGGGGUUUAGGAAGAAUUACGUUAUACGUAAAUCAGAUCCCUACAUCAGAGAUAGAAGAGUUGUUUCUGAUAGACCCCAGGACAUAAAAUAAAACAUUUCCAAGCAAUGAUCAAAUUGCAAGUAGAAUAUUAUUUCAAAAUCGAAUUUCAACGGAACCUAACGUUCAGCCAGAAGACUGUUGACCAGCUAAACAAAUUUGAAUUUGAAAAAUAUAAAGUUGGUAUGUGUUCUCUCUACUGGUUUCUUUGGACUUUUUCCUCUCGUUCAUUCCGUCCCUUUCAUUUUUUUUAGUGCUUUGACUUUGGUGGAAAAGAAACAAACUAAAGCAUGCCCAUGGAUUAUAUAAAAAUAUUAAUAUCAUUGAGAAGGUUUUAUGAGAUAAUUUCAGGCGAAACUUUAUAUACAGCAUUAAUAAAUAAUUCAGAAAAGAAAAAUUGAUUUGCUAUAAUAAAUUAAAUUCCAUAUAUACAUAAUUUAAUUGGCUUAUUCAGAAUCUUCACUUAUCAAUGCAACCUGUUAGAAGCAAUUGAAUUAUUUAUUAAGAUGAUCCUAAAUACUGUAUUAUAUUUAGAAGAGAUGCACCUUUCAUCUCAAACCAGGGUAGCUCGGUGCACAAAGCAUACCAUGUUCACACAGCGUCAUGAGAAGGUCCACACCCCAAGUAUACGCAGGGUCACACAACCUAAGUAUAUUCACCACGGCUAUCCAUGAUCCAUCUACAUUUAAAGAUGAAAUAAAACCCCUUUUUUCAGUACUGAUAAUAAUGAGGAGCAUCUGGCAUAGCAAUGGAUAGUAGGGUUAAUGGGGCAGGACAACUUAUAAGCAAUCCAAAACUCUUAGGAGAAUCAAGGCAAGUACAAAAAUGUAAAACUCUUAUCCCCUCAUCAUGAAAAUGACCUAGGUAAACAAUGUUCUACAUCUCUGAGCACAUAAAACAUAUAGCUCCAAAGGCAGUUUGCGAAAGAUGCUACCUAAAACAUCCCUUGAAUUUUACCCCAGGUAUUAGCAUCCCCCUAAUAUUCCCUUUAACUCCCUCCGUCCUAUAUUAGUUGUCACAUUUCUCUUUUACAUGUCCUUUAUACUUGUACACAUAUAGUCAAAUUUUGAAUUAAAUGAGAAAAAAAGGUCCUUUCAUCUAUUUUUUCCGUUCAUUCUUUUUGAAUGACAAGAAGCCUAGAACGUGAUUUGAACAUUUUACAUCCUCAAGUGAAAUUUUUCACACUUACAAAAAGAAUAACAAAGGACUUUUAACACUUUGCCGAUUUCUUUGAAUCUUACCAACAAAUCAGUGGUAGACCCAGGAUUUUAGUAUCAUGGAUGCUCUAAGGCCUUCUAAUGUAGGUUGCCAUAGACUUGAAUUUUAAGGUGAUUUAGAGGAAAAAUUAUCAUUAAUAUUAUCAUUACAAACAGAAUGUUCAAGAAUAAUCAAAACAUCAAACCAAAACAAAAAUCACACUGAAUCUAUGUAAAAAUAAUUGACAUAUUCUAAACCACUGCACCCACCCCCUCAUGUGCUCUGACUGCGUCUCUAUGUACAAAAUAUAAUUAAUUUCCUAUAAAAACACAGACUAUAAGUCGAGACAAUCUAGGCCUACCCAUGCAGCUGAGUGUUAAAAAGCUGAUUGUUCUAAAGAGGAAGGAUCAGCACAAUAGGAGCGGAAUGCUCCAAGAAGAACAGUUAAUUGUGGUGGUGCAGGCAGCAGAGGGAAUGAGAGAGCUGUGCACAAUGUUUAUGCAAAGGAGAUCGGCACAUUAGUUAUGUUUUCUAUGCGAGGAGAGCAGGGAAAAAAUUAACCACAUGACAAUCAAAAAGCUGAAAAAUGUAUUGGUAAAACAAGAUGGUGAAAAGAUAUUCUUAAACUUGGGAGUCAAAUUAACGAGAUUUCAUAGAUUAGAAACAAGCAACAGAGAAAUGAACCAAUUCGGGAUUAGUAAGUUGACAAAAUUAUUGUGUUUCAAAGUUGUCUAAUGAUAAACUCAGAAUAAGAUCCAAUGACCAAGACUUCCAUGAAAGUUGCAUGGUUUUACCAUACAAUAAGAUCCUUUAGCAUAUGAUUCAUCAUAUGACCCGGAUGUCAUUGAUAAAGUUGUUGUCAUGUGACCAGGAGGUCACGCAUUCAAGCCUUGAAACAGCCUUUGACAAAAAUGCAAGGUCAGGCUGUGAUGAUAGACCCUUGUGGUCGGACCCUUCUCUGGACCUGCACAUAGCGGGAGCUUUAGUGCACCGGGCUGCCCUUCUUUUUUACCAUAUGAUUUAUCAAACUUCUACAGAAAGUUGUUAGUGUUUUCAACAUGUAUCUUCACCUCAUAAAAAUGAAAUUCACUUAGUAUCUAAAGGAACACGACUUUCUUAAUCUUAUACAAUCAGUUCAAACAAAAUUUAUCGCCAGCCUGUCCAGAAAAGUUACAAUCUUUACCAACACGUGGUCACUCCACUAACUUCACGAGAUACCUACCAGCUACAAUCAACAUAGGAGGUACCACAUUACCUACAGACUAUAGGUACCUUUAACUAAUUAUUUGAUCCACACAUAACCAGAAUACAAUGCAAUACGAUACAUUAUGAAACAAUACGUAACUAACAAUCAUCCAAACGAAGUGUAAAGGCAAAACAGGAAUAUUACCGGUUGGCUGGCGUGGAGGAGUGCAGCAGGACCAAGAUAAGACUCAGAAUUCCACCAAUAACUAGGACAUGAAGUACUACAACAAGCACAGAGAAUACACUCACACAUCCCAUCCAACUUAGCACUAUCACUCUUACUCUGAGGUAUCUCCUUCCCAGCGAGUCCGUUACAGUCGUCGAUGUUCAUUGCACAAGAACCACAUACAUGAUCUUCGAAAUGUAAGAGAACGAUCGAUUUCGUUUUUUAUUUUGAUUAAGGCGUCUAAUACCAUUGGUCCGCAUUCCUUUAAAUCGAUUUUGUAUUCUUGGAGUUCCGGUUUUCCGGGAUUUUCUGGAUUCCAUCGGUUAAUUUGAAAUGACUUGAGGUUGGGUGCUUGUCGGGAUUUAGGGUCGGAAGUGUGCGCUCAGGCAAUUAGUAGCUUUGCCGGAGCCGGAGAUGAUGACUGAACCCUAGAAAUUGCUCGUCGGAUUAAACCAGCAGUCAUUGAUGAAUGCUUUGGUAAAUGCAUGUUCUUUUGUUCGCUUUCACAUUACAGAAAAGUUGCUUUUUCCUUUUUCAGAAAAAAUGACAAAAAUGAUCCUUACUUUUAAGUGUGCGUUAAAAAUAGUCCCGGUUUUGGUCUUUUAAGUUUGUGACAAGUUAACAAAUAUGGUCCUUUUUGUUUGAGGGUGAGUUCAAAAUCAUCCAUUAAACAUGCACAUAAUAGUUUUGGUCCUUUAAAAUUGUCAAAAACUAACACUUUUAGUCUUCAGCAGAAUAUGUAUACUGUUAAAUUUGAUAAAAUUAUGAAAGAAAGGUUCAAUUAUAAACACCAAGGAACUCCGAUCAAAUCCUAAAAUAUGCAACACAAAAGCUACAUUAAUUAAACCCUAAAAAGAGAUAAAACCGACAUAAAAAAAAUCAAAAGGCACUGUUGAAAAAUCAAUGAUUCUUUUUGCAAGAAUCGACGAACUUUUAUUGAUUAUUUCUGCUCAAAAUUGCACGAAAAUUAUAUAAGUUUGUAAAAGUUUAAGGAUUAAAACCGUCCAACUAUAUCUAUUAAUCAUGACAAAAUAAUACAACCUGCCACAACAAUUAUGUUUAAGAAAAUCUCAAAUAAAUCACAAUUAAUUGAACUUCUGUUUGUCAAUAUUGCUUCAAUUAGGUAUGUCUAGUCUAACUUUAUAGUGUACUUAGUUGUUUACUUUGUGUCGCACCUUAAAUUCAACCAUAUGUUCCACACUGUGGUGUUAAUAUACGGCUGAUAAUUUCUUAAGUUUGUUCAUUUUUUCCACACGCGUAAUUCUUGCGGGCCACGACUGACGGCAUUUUCUACUGUUCCAGUCUCUCGUCUUGUUUUUCUUCCUUGUGGAAAACAAAGUCAUCAGUCUUUGUUCCAAUGCGCAGAGAAGAAGCAAAAAGAAAUCUCCGCGUACCAAUAAAUACGUCAGUCUUUCUUUAUUUAUUUUUUUGCUUCAAAAAACUUGUCAGGCUACAGCCAAGAGCUGCAAAGUUGCAGUAGUAGUCUGAGAUGUUAAGGUCCUGUUUUGGGAGUUGCUUUGGUGGUGGUGGUGGUGAUGGUCUCCUAUGGCAUAUGGACUUGAAGCAACAUGCCACUGGUGAAUAUUCUGUUGCUGUUGUUCAGGCGAAUUCUUUGCUUGAAGAUCAAGGUCAAGUUCUUACAACUCCUAGUGCUACUUAUGUUGGUGUUUAUGAUGGUCAUGGUGGCCCUCAAGCUUCUCGCUUCAUCAACAACAAUCUCUUCCCUCAACUCCAAAGUAAACUCCAAUCUCCAUCUUUUUUUCCGAGUCUUGUAGGACCUUUACUCUUUUGUUGUUUCUUGUCAGUCAUAUAUAGGUCUAACAGCAAAAGUGUGCUAGUGCAAUUUUUCUAAUUUGUUAGGUGGAGAAUUCUAACCUAUAUAAUUUUUGUAACUUAAUUCUUGAUUGUUGGUUUCUGUGGUGCUUUUUUUUUUUGUUAUGUUGAAACAUCAUGAGAUUGAUCAGGGAAGACUGAGAGAAAACUAAUUUGAUCAUGUGUGGAGUGGAAGAGUAAAGAGGAACUGAGCUUGUUCAAAUACUAGAAAUGUUCACCUUUUGAAUGUCCGGAUCAAUGUUAUUAGAAACACUUGAUAUUGAUUGAAUUGUGUUUCAUUUCCUUAUUAUUUCGGUUAUUAUAGAGCUUGCAUUGGAAGGAGGAGGAUUGUCCGAGGACGUGAUCAGGAAAGCAUUUGAUGACGUUGAGGAAGGAUUUUUCUGUUUGGUGAAACAGUCUUGGCUGGAUCAGCCUCGGAUUGCUUCUGCAGGAUCUUGUUGUCUAGUCGGAGCAAUUUCGAAAGAUAGAUUGUAUGUAGCAAACGUUGGGGAUUCCAGGGCAGUGCUUGGCAGGAGAGUGGAGGCUGGCAAGGCGGGUGAUUCUGCAACAGUUCUGGCAGAACGUUUGUCUAUAGAUCAUAAUGUUGGGGUUGAGGAGGUAAGGAAGGAGGUAGAAGCACUACAUCCAGAUGAUCCUUACAUCGUGGUGUACACUCGAGGGGUUUGGAGAAUCAAGGGUAUAAUUCAGGUAUCCGUUAUCAACUGCUCUUUUCUACUGUCUUAUUAAUGCAGUCGACAAUUUUAUUAGUUUUUUAACUCAUUCAAGGUUACUAACUUUGUUUACUAGCCUUCCUGUUAUUCAGUUUAAGUUAUCUAGAAUUAAUACAUCCUUUUAGACCUGCAGUGGUAAUGAAUCAGACCUCCAAUUGAUGAAGACCAAUUAGACCUUUUCAGAUAUGUGGUUUUGUUACGACUAGACGAUAUCUCAAUAUGAUAAUAGGUUCUAUUCAAUCUUAAUGACAUAUGGUGGAAGGAGAAAAUAAUCAGAUCUCAUUUCAUUCUCAGUUCUGAUUUUCCGUUAAGUUUACAAUGGGCGAUCUGCUGUUACCUCUUAGCAAUCAAGAUAAGCUAAAGAGGCUGCUCAAUAUAUGUUCUAAAAGUAAGAAACAUAUGGAAGCUAGACAACAAAGAAGACCAAUGUCUUUCUUUCUGAACUCUGGUUUGUACUCGCACACAAAUACAAACAUUUAUAUUUAUUUAGUUGGAAAAAGCUCACCUUUUUGUUACUAGAGCAUGUUAUGAGGGUGGUCUAAAAUCUCUAGGGAACUCAAAGUUGAGGCUACUAAACCAGUCACUUUAUAUAUGCCAAUUAUGUUUGUGCACUUACAGCAAGUUGAUCAUACCUUUAGACGUGUUGUAUGUCAAGUCUUUCUUGGGUACCUUUUUUGUGUUUACACAUCAAAAUAUGCUUUCAUCUACUGUUUCUGAGGUUAUAGACUGUACGUUAAAUUUUCUCCUUUUAUCUUCUAAACCAAUCCUUAUAAAAAAAACUGUCACGUCAUAUGCUGAUUAUGUUGGUAACUUGUAUCAAGUUGAUCAUAUCCAUUAAAAGUGUUGUAUGCCAAGUUGUUUUCGGAGAUAAAUAUGCUGUUAUUGGCUACUUUUUAAGGUUUUAAACCUUGUGUAAAAUUAAUUUCUCUUUUUCAGUCUAGUACAAUGCAUAUCCAUUUAGCAAUUCAGGUAGUGUCAAGAUUGAUAAGUUGCACCUAUGAGAUUCACAUCAAGGCCCAAACAUUUUGUUGCACCAGUAGUAAUUUUGUUUUAUGUAUGGACAAAAAGGAAUCUCCUUUCCUCUUUAUCCCUUCACCCUUGGCCACUUAAUAGCAAUUUUUUUUAUCUCUUGGUAACUAGAAUAUGUAGCAGGGGCUGCAUGAUGCUCAUCUUUCCAUCUUGCAUCCUUCAUUUUAACUUCAGCAAGGUUUCUUUGUUAUUUGAAAGAUGUCAAAGAAAUUCUGAAGCUGACUAUUUUCAUUAAAAGUUCGCUAGCAGCCAAUUUUGGGGUCUGGGGAGUAUCCUAUGUUUUGAGAAAAUCCAUCUAGCUAAGAUUGCCUAUUUGCUUGCACCAGGUUUCUAGAUCAAUUGGUGAUGUCUAUCUGAAGAAACCUGAGUUUAGCAGAGAUCCUCUCUUCAUACAAUAUGGAUAUCCUAUUCCUUUAAAAAGACCUGUAUUGUCAGCAGAGCCUUCUAUACUGAUCCGGAAGAUAAGACCAGAAGACUUAUUUUUGAUAUUUGCAUCGGAUGGCCUAUGGGAGCAACUAAGUGAUGAAGAAGCUGUGGACAUUGUUUUGAAGAAUCCUAGAACUGUGAGUAUCGACCCCCUCCUGUUCUAUCAGGUUCUUGAAUUUCUAGAAGCAGUAGCGUUUUGUUGUCUGUAAAUUGGACUUAGGCUCUUAUAUAACUACUCUACUUGAAGCAAUUCUGUGAUCAAACUUAUCCAUGUUGGACAUAAUUAACUAAUGCAUAGGAUAGCUGAUAUUUUCUUCCCAUUUCUCCAGGGAAUAGCCAAACGAUUAGUGAGAGCUGCCCUUGAGGGGGCUGCAGAGAAGAAAGAAAUGAGAUACGAGGACAUCACACGACUAGAGAAGGGGGAAAGGCGGCAUAUUCAUGAUGAUAUCACAGUCAUAGUAAUGUAUUUGGAUCACCCUGGAAGGUCCAUAAAUGCUGGAUCGAAUAUUGUUAAGGGCACCAACAUCCCUCUUGACAUAUACUCCUUGAACUCAGGUCAUCAAGGAGAGAACACAUCUUAUGUUUCCCCAUGAAUAGUGUCUAAUACAUGUAUACGGUAUACGAUUUUGUAAAUACUUCAUCUUGGACUUGGAAAGUUUCUUUAUAUACUUUUAGAUUACAAUCAGAAGGACCAGCCAUGUACGUAUAUCUUAAUGUAUAUGUGUACCUUCUGUAUUGUAGCUGAUAGAUUAAGCUGAUGAAAAAUGAGCUUGGGCUUUCGCUUCUGUUUUUGACUCUUUCCUUGAAAGCUAUAUGUUGUAUUUCCCUGGCAAUUAUACUACAACUGCAUGAUGAAGUUUAUUAGAUGAAAUGAAAUUACAGUUUUUUCAAGUCAAUAAACCAUGAGUAUUCACCUUAAUUCUGGGAUUUGUUUUCCUCGGCGGGAGGAUCAAUAGUGUUCUCACUUCCCCUCUAGCGUGACUUGGACCCUCAGGUUUGAAACAUUUGUUUAUUCAGUUCCACAGGUUUGAAACAUCUGAGCUUCAAAAUUCAUUGGACGAAAUUUGCCUGGGCACAAUAUUUGAGUUGGGAAAUGACCUCUUUUUUAAAUACAUAAGGGUCUAUUUUAAAGAUAAAAUCUGUAGAGGUAUGUGAAUUCGUGUAUAGAGAAUUCAUCCCAGAAAUAUUAACAUAACUUUAAGACAAGCAAAGUAGAAAGUGAGAAGAUUAGGAUAGAAGAGAAGACGAAUUUGAAUUGAACUGGUGUUGGAUAUACAUUUAUAACACGUUAGAUUAUAGUGACUGGCCAAUAUCAAAAGAGUGGUUAUAUGGUGCACUUAAACAAAUUGAUAGUUUGGAUUGAACAAUAAGUACCACAACCAACUGACCUACUGAUAUUCGCCGUACAUUUCAAUUUAUUUGUUUUACUUUCUCUUACCAAUUGAACUCUAAUUAAGUUUUCACAUAUCAUAUUUAAUUCAAGAGCACAAGAUUAAAAUGCAUUUGGCUACUUUCUGCGCAUCUUUAAUUUAAAACCACAUUCUUUAUUUUCAAUUCUCGUACGUCAAAAUCAGACAAACAAAUUGAAACAUGAGCAAAGCUUACAAGUAACAUGUUAGUAACGCCUUCAUUCAAUUUUGGUCGUCACUAUUCGAAUAAUUUGUCCUUUUUCCAUUAUUAGUAUGCUUUGCCUUAGCUUAUUAGUCUUAUGUUUUGUGAAUGUGAAUCCCUCAAGUCGUUCUAUAGUCCAUAUAGUUGGCGGGUCGUCGUCUCCAUUUUCCACACGCCACCUUAAAGUCAAAAAAUUGGAACAGCAAAACAUCAGACCAAAAAAAAUGGGAAUAGUUGGAGAAGCUCACAACGUUAGAGUUCUGGGCGCAGGCGAGAAGACAAUAGUCCUCGGCCAUGGCUUCGGCACCGACCAAUCUGUCUGGAAACAUCUUGUCCCUUACCUCGUCAAUGAAUAUCGUGUUGUACUUUACGACAACAUGGGUGCUGGAUCGACGAAUCCUGAGUACUUCGAUUUUGAUCGAUACUCUUCCCUUGAAGGUUAUGCCUAUGAUUUAAUUGCCAUUUUGGAGGAACUUCAAAUCAAUUGUUGUGUGUACUUGGGACAUUCCUUAUCUUCCAUGACCGGUGUUGUUGCUUCUAUUUUUCGUCCUGACCUCUUCUCCAAACUCAUCCUCGUUUCUGCUUCCCCAAGGUGAGAUUAUAAAUUGAUCACUCUUAUUUCCCUGUGAGUGGCAUAGCCAUAUCCAUAUGUAGUAAAUGGUGGUGAGUUGAACUUUCCGGUGGCACUAAUAGAUCAAAGGAAGUACUUUCUCUCCCAUCGAAUCAAAUUGGCCAAAGGUGUGCGUUCAUGAGCCCAUGCUAAAGUUUCAAUCAAUUCUUGCCAAUAUCCACGCCAAAAAAUUAAGAACAUAAAUCCCGUAGCCCAAACAAGAUGUCCAAAUAAGAACAUCCAUGCCCAAACCGAUAAACUAUUCAUACCAAAAGGGUUGUAUCCAUUGAUAAGUUGUGAAGAGUUUAACCAUAAAUAAUUCCUUAACCAGCCCAUCAAAUAAGUGAAAGAUUCAUUAUUAAACUGGGAAUGGAGUCAGGGAAAGCUAUACUAUAUAUAUGACUAUUAAUAACUAAUAUAUUCAUAACAACAUGGCUUCUUUCUCUCUUAGGUUCAUAAAUACGGAUGACUAUUAUGGAGGUUUCGANNNNNNNNNNNNNNNNNNNNNNNNNNNNNNNNNNNNNNNNNNNNNNNNNNNNNNNNNNNNNNNNNNNNNNNNNNNNNNNNNNNNNNNNNNNNNNNNNNNNNNNNNNNNNNNNNNNNNNNNCAGCAGGACAUUGUUCAACAUGAGACCAGACAUAGCACUCAGCGUUUUCCGCACUGUUUUCACGUUCGACCUAAGGCAUUUUUUGUCCCGCGUUACUGUACCUUGCCAUAUCAUACAAAGCUCAAUGGAUAUGUCAUUGCCAGUCAGUGUUUCCGAAUAUUUACACAGAAAUCUGGGCGGGAAGUCGAUUGUCGAAAUCAUGUCAACCGAAGGUCAUCUUCCGCAUUUGAGCGCACCUGAGGCUACUAUUCCCGUAUUGCUUCGACACAUUGCGCAUGAUAUUACUGCUGAUGGUGAUGCUUAAAUUCUUACAUACUGGACUAUUCUGAACUUUUUGUAAACAAAUAAAGGAUAAUGAAAAUCUGGGGGCGUCCUUUCAAUUACUACUACUCACGUGAUAGUGUCAAAAAAUGGCCAUAUAUAUAUAGACACUACUUCUAAUAUUAAGUUGCCAAUUUUUUGUUUUUCAUUUGAACCUUUCAACUGAAAUUGUUAUACUAUAUUAUAAUGUACCUUAAAGUGUAACUGUUGAACAAUUCAUUAUGCUCCAAAAAUUAAAACUUGUGAUAAAAAUGUGCAGUCUCUUUUUUUUUUUUUUCAAACACCCGAAACACUAUACUAGUACACGUGGUUGACUUAUUAACACAACGAAUUAAAAUGUAAGUACUAAUUUAGAGGUUUAUAUUAGUAAAACAAAUAUACACAUGCCUAGACAUAUAUAUUCACACUUGAUAGCAACAAGAAAUACUUGUUUAGGUGUGGUGCCUAAGGGCACACGUCAAAUUUAGCUUUCUUCUUGCUACUCUUCUUUAUUCCAUGAAAGGCGCUAGAGGUUUAGGUACAUUGUAUUUGCUUGUUUGCUCCAGUAAUAUUCUGGAGGAAAUCAGAGCUCAUGGAGUAAUGGUCCCCAUAUAUUAUACUCUGAUGAUGGAUAAAAAGUGGCUGGAAUAUUUAUAUUCCACAAUUGGAUUAAUUUUUAGUUUGUGGUUUUGCGGUAAUUCGGGAAGAAAUGGAAAUUGGAUUGUUAAUCAUUUGGAUAAUUAAGAUAGGGGUUGAUACUAAUAGCUCAACUUAACGGAUCUUAUAUUUCUAAAUAAUAUAGGACAAUGCUUGGCUUUUCUAGAGUUUGUAAAUGACCUUCAAAUUUCAGUUAGAUUAACAAAUAGCCAUUUAUUGAAAAAUAUAGUUAUUAUCAUUUAGGCUAUCUUUGUGAGUGAUUAGCGCCUCAAUCUAAUUGUAGAAGCCAUUAAAAUCUUUGUUUUCAAGAUGCAGCAUCUCAUCAGGACUGAGGAGUAGAUUUUCAUUGACUACUAGGUAGGUUGCCAAAUAUUGUAAAAUCAUGUAACACGUUGGAUUCAUUCUUGAAAUAUUUGCCCUCAAGAAUCUAGUAUAUAUGAUUCUCUAAGUUGUGGUUAUAUAUGAUGUACCUAAAAUGUUUUUGGGUUGUUGUUUGCAACAAAAUUUCAUUUUUGAAAAAUAAAUUGACUGCAAAUAAAAUAUAAGGAAAUAAUAUUUUUUUAUUAAUAAAAAAUAUGGAUACAAUUUUAUUUCUCUCUUGAUUCUUCUCUCGAGCAUAGUAGAUUUGGUUUGAUCUCCAUGAAAGGAGGAUUUUUUGGAUCUUAGUAUUUGAUUAUCAAGAAGAGAACUUUGUGAAUAUCCAUCAGUUUAUGAGAUAUUCGAGAUAUCUAGGUAAUAUGUUAUCCUUUAAAUAAGAGUAUACUAGGGUUUAGUUACAUUAACCUUCAAGUCAGGUUUAGAUAAGUAGUCUCCAAGAACUUUACCGAAAAUUGAAUUUGUCUUGUAGAGUCUUAUAAAAUAAAAUUUUGAUGCCUACAGAUGUCCCCUACUUCAAAAUUUGUCGGAAUGUAAAAUUGAUGAAAGUCAUAGACGGGUCUUGAAGUACUCUUACACUUAGUAAUUUCGUGGCUCCAAAUUUGCAUAUCUGAUUUGUGAGAGAAAAGAUGAAUAGAUUUGGUCCUAUUGGGUGUGUCAAUUUGUUAUUGAUGAAAAAUAAAUAGAUCACAAACAAAAUAUGAAGAAACAAUAAUUUUUUCAUUGAUAAAGAAUGUGGAUACAAUUUUGUUCUUUUUCUUCGUGAUUCGAGGACCGUUAGCAAUGUAUUUCUCGAACAUAGGAAGGUUUGAAUUCGAUCUCCGUGAAAGGAGAGUUCUCUUGAUUUUCUUCAUGAGGAUCGUUAGUAAUGCAUUUCUCGAACGUUGGAAGAUUUAAAUUUGAUUUGUAUUUGAUUAUGAAGAAGAGAGCUUGUGGUCUCUUUGUGAAUAUCCAUGAGUUUAUGAGAUAUUCAAGAUGUCUCUUUAAGGGAAUAUAUUAUUCUUCAAAUACGUAUAUUCUAGUGUUUAGGUUGAAUCGCCUCCAAACUAGAUUUAAGAUAAAAUAGCUUAUAAGAACUCUAUCAGAAAUUAAAUUUGUCUCAUAGAAUUCCACAAAAUUCUAAUAUCUACACUUGUGAUUAGAAAUCUAAUGUUUUUUUAAGUUAUAACUAGACUGUACUUAGAAAUGUUUUAGGUUUGUAUCUAGGAUUCAUAUAUGAUUUUUUGGUGAUGGUCGAUGAUAUAAAUGUGUAUGAUGAAAUAUAGAGCUAAUGGUUAAAAAAAAAAACAUUGAAGCGUUGCUAUAUAAUAUUGAGAUAAGUGUAUUUCACUUAAGGCACGGAUACAUUCUAUUAGCGAAAUUGUAUGCGUUGAUACAACUAGAUUGAUAUAAUAUAUAUAACAAAUACAGUGUGAAUAAAUACAACGAAAUCAACCAAAUAGAUACCCCUUAGUUUAUCUUUAAUUGUCCACUAUACUAAAAAAUAGAUGUCAAAUAAUAUAUGUCCAGUUUGAAAAAUGAAUGCAUAAUUUUUUACCUAUUUCAUCUUUGCUAUUAAAUAUUAUUCACUAUUCAAUGCAUUUUCUAAAGGUAAAUUUAUUAAUAUAAUAAAAUUAUCCUUCUUAUUUAUUAUUUCUUAACAUGUGUGGUGAAAAAAUAUUGUUGAACUGAGAAAGCACAACAAAAUUGAGCACAAAUAUUGCGAAAUUGAGCAAAUUACGGACGCAUCAAAGAAUUUGAGCGACAAAUCCAGUUCUGAAACGAUGACUAUUGGUAAUAAUAAUUAGACUUAAUAUAACUACUAAUGAUAAUUAUGAUCCAAAACUAUAACUGUUUAUGCAAUUGCCUCUUAAUUAAUCUCCUCUUCCAUCCAAUCUCAAGUGUCAUGACAUAAUUAAUUAGUACCUACUCUUUUUCUACUCCAGAUCCAGAAACCAACCACGUAUGCUUGUCAGAUUAAAGUGGUGCUUCCAAUCACAUGUUGAAUCUUUUCUCCAACUACUUUAAAUUGGGAGACACAAGCUAUCCAGUUUGUUACUGAGACAGACGACACUACUGUGGGUUUUAAUUAUUAGCUGCGACAAAUCUGGUUAUCGCGUGAUCAUGUGCUCAAUUGGCAUAUGUCAUAUUUUGAGUGUUCAAAUAAAAUUUAAUGAUAAAUUUAAGCUAUCGAUGAACUAAGUUCUAUAAUUUAUUUAAUUCUCACUUUAAUCUCAUUAUUUAACGUCAAUAGUCGUAAAUGUCACACAGAGCAGAAAUGAAUUGAUACUCCUACGCCCUAACAAAUUGAACUAGUGAUGCAAGAGCUAAAGGACACACAUAUAUUGAAUUAAUGAUGCAAGAGCUAAAGGACAUGAGAACUAGCAACCAAAAAUAAUGACGAUAUGUAUGAUUGUCGAAUUUAAUUCAGAUGGGUGGUGUGGCAUAUGCUUUUCGUUUGAUGUGGUAUUGUUUGUUACUGGUGAAAAUAGUUGCAGUUUAGUAAUUUGUAUGAAUAAACUUUGUUAUGUAGUUUUGUGAAUAAUUAAGCAUUUCAAACAGUAAAUAAAAACUUAAAAAUCUACUAAUGCCGAGAGAAUCUUUCACAAAAUAAUAUAUAACUCCUAAUUCUAUUAUUGUUAUCGAAUUCUCCUUUCCUUUCCCUUUCUCCAGUGCGAUUGGAGAACUUAUUAUAAUAAUAAAAGAUUUUAUAGUGCACCAACAAGGAUUGUGAUGGAAUGAUAAUUAAGUACUUUUCCAUCCUUAAUCAAAGGUCUUGGGUUCAAGUCUCCAACCCCAAAAUAUGAAAUCGCUUUUGUUAGGAAGUAUUUUACCUCCAAUGUAGAACUUCCCGGCCCGAGUUCGGAUUUAAUGAUUUUGUAGUGAGCAUUUAGAGCAUAUAGUCAAGUGAGCAUGCUCAGCACAGAACUCUUUGGCACAAAGCUACGUUAAAAGUUGGGACCUAAUGGGUUGGGACCUGUUUUCUUUUUUGUAAUUAAAUAAAGUUUAUCGAGCAAUUUCUUUUUUCCAAAAAAAGUUUGAUGUAUAUGUAUGUAGUCUUCCCACCUAACAUGGUUUGACAGGACGUCUUCUUAUUUAUGCACUAACAGUUUCUUUUCCUUACAUAAGCUAUGUUAACAUAAUGAGCCAACCCUAUUAUUAUCAUGGAAUUAUUUGGGGUACCAAUGCUAAGUUGCUAAACUUCUCACUAGGUUUGUCUUCCGACCAAGGGGUUGUUGGUUGUUCAAUUCAUUUCAUUUAUCAUUUUAAAAAAAAUAUAAAUUGUUUUCGAGAAUUGAAAGAGCUCCAACAUUUUGUGAACAUAUGAAAUCACAAAGAAAAAAAGGAUUUAUAAGUCAUUAACCAACUCAAGGUUCUCAAUUUUUAAAAAUAUUUAAUUAUAGCCUAUGUAGGUAAUCUUCAUAUAAAAGUGUUUCUCCUCCGCUUCAUCUUCUUCUCUAGUUGUUUAAUAUUUUUAUAUCUAACGAUACAAGGGAAAAAAAAAGAAAAUGAUAUUAAACUUUGAACAUAAAAUUGGUCUCAAAUUGACCAGAAACAUAUAAAGACAGACUUGACAACUUGUCAUGAUUUAAGUAACAGAAAAAAAAAUAACUAAUAAAUCUUUCCAUUAUAAGUAUUUAGUUUUCAAUUUGUUCAUGUGAUAUUGUACUACUCCCAAAUUUAAAAGCAUGUGGGUGAAAUAUAUACAAAAGGCUUCAAUUAAGGUUUUCUUUAUAUACUUGUCAAGUUUGAAAGGCAUUUGCAUUUGAAGUUCCAGACCGAUUUUAUGCACCGGCAAUAUAAAAAAUAUACCUUUUACACUAUCAGGUUAUCCAAAGACUAUCUAUAAAAAAUAUCCUUAAAAUGUGAAAUUUAUAUAAUCAUGAAAAUAAGACAAAUUACAUGUUACUAAAAGGUAUAGAUAACAUAAUGAUAUAAAAAAAAAUACACAAAAUAUAUAACUUAAAACUUUUUUUCAAAAAGAAAAAGUAAAAAGUUCUUUAUGUAAUCACCAUCUUCAUCUGCAUACAUUAGGGUUUUUCUUUCUAUGAUAUUAAUCUUGUGCUAGAGUAAUUCGGAAAAUUAAGAUUGGCUAAUAGGACGCGUUACUUAAAAUUAUUUUGUAGUUGAUUAGUUUUGCAUCACAAUCAUUAACUAAUAAAUUAUUGUCCAUUUUGGGUCAUAUCAAUAUUUUUUCUCAAACAUGUAGCCAUCAAGAUGCCCAAAUGUAAAGAACUCAAAAAUAAUAUUGUCCAUUUGGGUUACGUUAUACCAAAUUUUAUUUUUCUAGAAUAUAGCCGUCAGAUGCCAAAUGUGCAAAGAAAUAAAAAAAUAUUUAAUCAACGAAGCGCAACAAGACACCAAAGCAUGUGAUUUAUAGUCAUCCAUGCUAUCAUUUUCCAGACCAAGAUUCAAACAAAGCAUAAAAGAGUUAACAAGUCCACACCUUUUCUUUCCCCUUGCACCCUUUUUCUCCAUACAAAUUCUCUGAUUCAAUUUCCAAAAAAAUUAAAGGAAAAGUAAGAUAUGGGGAUUGUUGAAGAAGCACACAACGUGAAGAUUCUAGGAACAGGUGAUCGAACCAUAGUGUUAGCUCAUGGAUUUGGAACAGACCAAUCUGUGUGGAAACAUCUUGUUCCUCAUCUAGUUGACGAUUUUAAGGUUGUCUUGUUUGACAAUAUGGGUGCUGGUACUACCAACCCUGACUACUUUGACUUUGAAAGAUACUCAACCUUAGAAGGAUAUGCCUAUGAUGUGAUUGCUAUUUUGGAAGAACUACAAAUUCCUUGUUGCAUUUAUGUUGGUCAUUCUGUUUCUGCCAUGAUUGGUGGCAUCGCUUCCGUUGCCCGCCCCGAUCUCUUCACCAAACUUGUUGCUGUCUCUGGUUCUCCAAGGUUAAUUUCCUCUUCUCCCUUUACCUUCUUAGAACUUACUGCUAUUAACAUUUGACUGUUUAAGAUCACAAAAUUCAAAACUGUUCAUUACUUUUUAAAAUUUCCUGUUGAGUGGAAACCAGAAAAAGGAAUAGUAAACUUUUUACGUAGUCAUAGAAAGAGAUAGUAUUAGUAUAAUAAUUUCUAGUCAUGCUUUCGGAUUACUAUAAUAAUUUAAGCAAAUCAUUUAGCUGGUAAGUAUGCGAAUCAUUAGCUAAUAUUCUUCUAAUAUCUUAUUGAACAUGUUGGUUGUCACUUGUCUACAUUGGGCCAACAGUUGUCUGAUCUUAUGUUUCUUUAUUAUUCUUACUUACAAUGGUGUGCUGGAUCCUUUUUAUAUUUGGCUUGGUAAUAGUUCUAAGAGAUUCUGGAAAGUUUUUGUAUAUUUCAACUUUCUUAAAAGAAAUGAAACUUUUUACCUUGUGGCAGCUUGUCUUACUAUCUAGAAAAUUAAAAAUAUCAAAAUUUUAAUUAGGUAUUUGAAUGACGUGGAUUAUUUUGGAGGAUUCGAACAAGAAGACCUGGACCAAUUAUUUGAAGCAAUGAAAUCAAAUUACAAGGCAUGGUGUUCAGGUUUUGCACCUCUAGCUGUAGGAGGGGACAUGGACUCUGUUGCAGUACAGGAAUUCCCAGACAUAGCAUUAAGCGUGUUACAAAUUAUAUUCCAAAGUGAUUUAAGGCAUAUGUUGCCUCAUGUCACUGUUCCUUGUCAUAUAAUUCAGAGUAUGAAGGACCUGGCUGUGCCUGUGGUAGUCUCUGAAUAUCUCCACCAGAACCUCGGUGGCGAAUCAAUCGUGGAGGUGAUGUCCACGGAGGGCCAUCUGCCGCAGCUGAGUUCACCUGAUGUUGUUAUUCCGGUGUUACUUAGGCAUAUUCGCAAUGAGAUUUCAUGAGUUGAUAAAUAACUCCUAGUACUUGGUGGAAUUUAUUUGAGAUAUAUACAAAGUGCGGAAAUUUCAAAUGAAGAUGAUGGAUAAUGUUGAUUAAUAAAUUAAUUACGUUUCACUACUCCUAAACCAAACUAGUUGAGAUCAGCUAUAUGAACUCUUACUUUCAUUUUGUUUUGAUGUUUGUUAAUUUGAGGUUGCGAAUGGAAGUGUGCAACAAUUUAUUUCAAGGAAGCAGAAAAUUACCAAUGAGUUAAAGGUAACGAGUGGUUGUGUAGGCCCUGAAUCCACAUGAUAUUUAUGCUUGGUCCCACUCCCAUAGAUGUUUAAUUUGACUUCUUUAUUGAGCUAGACGAAAGCUUUGUUUGGGAAUCUUUAGCUGCACGUGCAUACAAACAAAUAUUAUGUGCUACUAAUGUUUGCUUUUAUUCAGAGCUCAGCCCAGCAAGAUUUUGCAAAAAUAUGAGGCAUUUCUAAUUUAGGAUAGAGAUUAAGUUAUAUACAUUGAAAAAAUAUUAUAUACAAUUAGGUCAUUAAAAAUAACUUUUUUUCCUUGUUUGAAUGCAAAGUGAGGAUUAAAUGAGCGGAUAGAGAAAUUGUUAUAAGAGGGAAUUUGAUUCAAUAUGUUUGUCCUAUUUUAGUCUAGUUCGACUCAAAAGGAAUAUUUCUUACUUUUUUUAAAAAAAAAAAAAUUAUUUAGUUUCAACUUCACAUAUGACAUGUUUAAGACCACAGAAUUAAAGACGAUUUUUGUUAUAUAUUUAACAUAUCUUUUAAUUUAAAACCAUAAAAUUUAGUAAGAAUUUUUUCACUAUUUUCGAACUCCCUGUAGUCAAAAACAGGACAAACGGGAGUAGUAACAAACUUGGAAAAUAUUGGCAAACACUUCCAGAAGUAACUUUAAUUGUUGCACAGGACUCUUUGGUGUUAAAGCCUCUGGGCAUGUUUGGGCUUUUAUAUUAUCCCGUUGAAUUUAGCCCAAUAAUUACAUGUCCCAUCAGGAUGAAAGUUGUUCAUAGACAAGACCAAAUGUGGGAUAGAGUCAUACAGAUGUGAAGAGACGUUUUAUGAGCUGCAUUCUAUGUGUCGAGUUACUUAGGUUUGCGGGAGAGUCACAAAAGCUUCUUUACUUUGAAUAUCUUCAGUUAAUAAAAUCCUCUAUAACUCUGCUAGCUUUUUGCUUCAAUGAGCCCCAAAUAAAUAAUCAGAUGAUUAGUACCUUUUCACCUUGUUGGGCAAAAGGAAGUGUUUUUAGUUCUCUAUGCUUGUGUUGGGGGAAAGCAUCUUAAUAUUUUCAGUGUUCACAUCACAAAAUUGGCAUGAUCGAAUUAUUCUUUAUGUACUCAUAUUUGCCAUCAUAUUUUAUUUUAAUACUAUAAGGGGUCGUUUGGUUUGCCAAUAAGUUAUGCUAGAAUUAGUUAUAUCGAGAUUAGCUAUCUUGGUACUACUUUGUAGUGGUUGUUUGAUUUAUGGUACUAAAAAUAAUAUGUAUUGCAUUCUUUUUAAGAAUAAAUUAUUUGUAUACAAAAAUACCCUCACCUUAUUUAGCUUAAUUAUUUUUAUGUGUGUUCAACUAUGUGUGCAUACAUGCGAAGUUUUUUUUUUUAAUUUGAAACGAUAAUGUAUAUUAAAACUAGGCAAAGCCUUUAUAGUUCCUAAAAUAUUUAAUUGCGGAAAUGGAUUGACUAGCAAUAAUUAAACUGGAUUUGUGGUAUUAAAAAAAUAUUUAUUGCAUUCUUUGAGGCUUCACACUAACUAAUGAACCCAUCAGCUGAGCAAAAUGUGAAGAGCGAAACCAGAAAUGUUUCCGCCAAAAUAACAUAAACUCGAGUCAAUCAGGCAAUUAUAAUUUAUACCACGAAACAAAGGAAAAACAAAUUCCAAUAUCCAACAGAGAAUGUGAUGUGCUUCAUGAUGAGCAGCUCCAUGAGAAGCUUAAAAACAAAACGAACAUUAUUAAGAGGUAAGUCUGCGAUGGAAAUUACACCAUCUGCAGUCACUAGAGACUAACAUACCUCCAAAACAUCCCUAGCAUGACCAAAAAGGACUUCAAUGAGAUCCUUCAAUGAAGCGCGGUCUCAACUCCAAGAUCACGCACCUUUACCAACAUGCAGCAAAGGUUUCUAUUUAAAAAGUCAUUCGUCAAUAGCCAUUAUAUGUGUGUGCGCGCGUGCGUGUGUGUGAAAGUGAAAAUCAACGGCAACCAAAUGAUGCAUCAAAAACAUCCCCUAGUUGAUAUCUUCUUCGUCUUCAUAUGGGUUAUGACUUUAAAUUCUUAUUCAAGACCCGCCAUAUUUGAUAAAAAGGAAAAGAGAGGAAAAAACUAUUUCUAUAAGGGAGUGAACUUGUAAAAUAAUGAGUUUGGUUUCUAAUCUUUAAGAAAUGAAGAUUUAAUAUACAAGUGAAAAUUAACGAUAAAGUUCCGUUAUAAUAAAAUUGAUCUACCAUUUGAAGCCGAUUGAAUUGGGUUGGGUAGAUUUUGAACCUAUUAGGUGCUUAUUUAGACUAGGAAAAUGGGGACGACUCAUAAAUGCCUCAAAGGCACGAGAAAUAUAUCAAACUCGUGGUAAAGCUGGAAAGUACUACUAUCGGUAAGCCACGCAUCAAUACAGUUUUAAAUAUAUUAAAAAACAAAUAAAAGCGGGAUGAAAGUUUAUUUUAUGCUAACAAAUAUUACAUAUCCAAAAAAUUAAUUUAAGCCGGAUAUAAGUCAUUAAAGCGACCGUACUAGAAUCACGGGACUCGAGGGGUGCCUAGCACUUUCCACUCAAUCAACAGAAUUCCUUAUCGGAUUUCUAGUUCGUAGACCAAAAAUUAAGAGUCAUUUCCUUUUGAAAAAGGGUUCAAAAAGGUGACUUGAAACACCCAAACUCAAUUUCAAGUGGCGACUGUGUAAAAUAAAUAAUUUCUUUUCAAAACAUCACUUUAAUUGGAAAAUUCAUUUUCUCUAAAACCAACUUCCUAGCGGGUUGGGGCGAUAAAAAAUAGGGGUGUGACAACUACCUUACACCAAACGCCCCCUAACAAUUUUAAACUUUUUAAAAGGGGAAAAGUUGGUAGUGGAAAAUAGAGAAUUAAGUACCGGUGGUAGAUCACGUGCUUUGAAGUCUCAAGUACAAUUCUUCUUUUCUUUUCCCUAAACGCACUUUCGAUUGCUAAUAAUAUAGCCUAAUAUUAAAUCGGAUGUAUGUAAAAUUCCUCCAUGUGACUGUGUCUUUCCCAAAUUAGCAUUUUUGUGUUCGGAAUAGGAAGUAGUUAGUAGUUAGUACCUACUACAAAUAAUUUGAAAGCAACAUUAAAUUAAGAUGAUAAAUAAAUAAAGAAUAAUUUACAAACUACAUCAUUAUUAGUGUUAGAGGAUGUUAAAAAAAUGAAAAUGGUCAAAUAGUCUAUAUUUAAAUGGAGAUUACUCCCUCGAAUAUGAGAAAUCCCAAGUCACCCGUUGCAAUAUAAUGGCGUACAAUCAUCGCAGCUCCCUUGAAACUAAAGCAAAUAUAGAUGAAAAUAAGCGCGAUUUUUUCUUCUUCUUCUUUUUGUUUGCACAAAAUAAGCAAAUUCAAAAGAAGGAAAUUCUUUUUCUUUCCGUGCUCACUUUUUUUUUUAAAAAAAAAUAAGGAUAAUAAGAUACGAAAUCGAAUUCUCACCAAUAGGUUGAAAGUAUAGAUAAACAACAAAUUAAAUUACUUUUUCCGGCCAACAAUACUUAUUCACUGUUAAUUUGACACACCUUAACAAACAAUAAAUAAUACUAUAUAGUACUAUUAAUAUAAUAAAUUUAAUCCUUUAGAAAAUUUAUUUGAUGAUGAAUAACAUUUAAUAUCAAGGAUAAAAUAGAUAAAUUACUAUUUUUCAAACUUAACAAGUACUCCCGCCGUCCCAUUUUACCCGUCCCAAAUUGAGACGGUACGGCUAUUAAGAAAAUAAUGAUUGGUAAUGUAACUUUACCAUUUUGCCCCUCUUAAUUGUGUCUUGUUAUUAAUUCCUAUAUUGAUAGAUGACUAAUACCAAAGCACCAUUUAUAUUCUUAAUGAUGUACUCUUAUUGUUAUUAGUUCAAAAAGUCUUUGCAACUUUUUUCAAGAAUGCUAAUAAUAAAGAGUGAUCAAUUACACUAAGGGUAUAAUGGGAAAAAAAAUUGUCUUGACUUGAUAAAUAAAAAGGGACAAGUAAAAUGGGACAUCAAAUUAAAAAAUUUAGGACGAAUAAAAUAAGAAUAUUAUUGAAUAUCUAAUAUAAUAAUAUGGUCAAAGUAAAAAUUGACGGAGGGAGUACAACAUGUGUAAUCACUUAUUCAUUUUAUUAAACAUGAAAAACAAUAUUAAUGUUAUUUCCCCUUUUCUCUACCAAUGUAACACAAAAUUAAUUGACAUGAAUCAAUAAAGUUAAUCGACAUGAAUCAAUGGAAGGAUUAAUUUUCUGUAAUAUGUAGGAAUGCAUUUAUUUUCUUAAUAAUCUAUAUUUUAAUUUUUAUGGAUUUACAUAAUUUCUAUUAAAUUCAUUCUUAUCACUAUGAAAGAAUACUUAAAUUUCAUGAUAUUUUUUAUGGCGCUUGUCUCAUGCUUUGUGUUAUGCAUCUAUUGUUUGGAGAUCAAAAUAUUUUAUUUCAUGUUUUUAUAUGCCCUUUCAACUAAGCUGUGAUGUAGUUUAUAAUAUUUUUAUAUAAUAUUUUAAUAUGUAGAAAUUAUUCUAAGAAUUUUAAAAUUUUAUAUUUAGAUUUACUUAAAAAAUUAACAAUAUAACCAUAUUUUGUAUGGUCUCAUAUAGUAAUUAAAAUAAAAUGGAGGGAGUACUUAUUAAGUUACUAGAAGUAUUGGAGUCCGUGCCAGCACAUGUCCAAUGUAUGUUAUAUAAUUUUUUAAUAUUUUAAGUUAUUAAUUAUUAAUUUAUAUUUUUCAGAUACUAAAUGUUACUUUUUUUUGUCCCAAUUGAUGUGGCACUGAUGAAUAUUCGAGAAAGUCAAUCAAAUUUGUUAUAUAAGUUUAGAUAUUUUAAGUUGUUAAUUAUUAUGAUUAUACAUUUUCUACAUAAUUUUCAAGAAAUAUAUGUAUGCUACUCCCUCUAUCACAAUUUAUAUGACAUUGUUAUAAUUUGGAAGCUCAAACAAAAUUUUUAUACAUUUUUAAAAUAUUUUAAUUCGACAAUUAUUAAUUUUCACAAGUUUUCAAAAAAUCUAUCCCAAUUUAUGUUGCAUUGACAAAAUUUUGAAUCAACAAUUUUCUUAUGUUCCUUCAAAUAAUUUUAAUUAUUAAUGAUUGUAACUUCUAAUAGUUUUUAUGUAAUUUUUAAAUAUAUAACAAAUUUAAGAUAAAAUAAAAUAAUAAAAUUAAAUAAAAAUUAUAAAAAUAUCCUCUACAAGAGCAGACAACUGAAAACAGGCAUGACAAUCUCCUGCUUUAGCUGUUUACUCACUAAUAAUUCUAUAUAGUAGUAAUUUCAUUCGCUUAUUUUUACGUGUUACGUUUCAUCUUUUAAAAGUCAAUAACAUUAAUUAUUGAAACUAAAUUAAUUUAUUUUUGAAAAAUUUAAAAAUAAUUUAUUUUGUUGGUUACACAACAACAAUAACAAUAUAUCCAGUGCAUUUCAACUUAGUGGGGUCUGGGGAGGGUAAAAUGUACGCAGACCAUAUCACUAUCUUAAGAGAAGUAGAGACGUUGUUUCCGAUAAACCACCGCUUAGGACCAAUAAUAGUAUAACAAAUACAAAAAGUAAGCCGAUACAAACUAGUAUGGUACACAAAACAAACUAACAGUAUAACAAACACAAAAGAUAAGUGCAUAAUAAACUAGUACGGGAUGCAAAAAAGCCAACACCACUAACCCCCAAAACUACAGCCCUAACACUAUGAAUCAGAAACUCCAGACCCAAAGGAGCACUCCCCUAUUACUACCGCCGCGCUCCCAACCCCUAACCCUCUGCCCUAAUCCGCGUUCUCUACACCUUCCUAUUAAGGGUCAUGUCCUCUGUAAGAUGUAAUUGCUUCAUAUCAUGCCUAAUCAUCUCCCUCCAAUAUUUCUUCGGUCUACCUCUAGCCCACGUAAAACCAUACAUAGCCAGAGUCUCACACCUCCGCACUAGAGCAUCAGGGCCCCUCCUCAUCACAUGUCCGAACCAAUGUAGCCUCACUUCUCGCAACUUAUCCUCCACCGAGGCGACUCCUACCUUCUCUCGAAUAAUCUCAUUCCUCACCCUAUCUUUCUUGGUAUGUCCACAAAUCCAUCGCAACAUUCGCAUCUCCGCUACCUUCACUUUUUGGAUGUGGGAGUUUUUAACUGGCCAACACUCUACUCCAUACAACAUAAUCGUCCGGACUACCACUCUGUAGAACUUACCUUUAAGCUUCGGGAGCACCUUCUUAUCACAAAGGACUCCCGAAGCGAGCCUCCACUUCAACCACCCUGCCCCAAUACGAUGUGUGACAUCCUCGUCAAUCUCACCAUUACCCUGAAUUAUAGAUCCUAGAUACUUGAAACUCCCCCUCUUCUGGAUGGCCUGAGAGUCUAGCUUCACAAUCACUCAAUCUUCUUGCGACAUAUUACUGAACUUACACUUCAAGUACUUCGUUUUUGUUCUACUUAACCGAAAACCUUUAGAUUCAAGCGUCUGUCUCCAAAUUUCCAACUUAUCAUUAACUCCACCGCGAGUUUCGUCAAUCAGAAUCACAUCAUCUGCAAAUAACACACACCAAUUUAUUUUGCUGAUUACGAAUUUGUGAAAUCUCACUUACUAGUUUAACUGAAAUAUAGAUGUUCAAAACUAUAUAAAAAUAUUAUAAGUAUCAAUUCCUUUCAGGUUAAUAUAAUAAAAAAAAAUUACAUAUUUAAAAUACUUACCAAAAUCCUAAUAAUUCGAUUUCGAAAAAGCAAAAUGUGAGGAAUAAAAUCCCAAAUAAUUAUGAUGAAUUCAAGCACCGAUGCAAGUGCAUAAAUAAAUAUUCUAUUUAUUUUGUAUUAGUUGAUUUCUGUAGAUUUGACACAUCUAUAAAAAGUAAUUAUUAAGAAUUUAUUUUAUUAAAUUAAUCUUAUUAAAUAUGUAUUGAAAUAGUUAAAUUGAAGAAUGAUGAUCAACUAAAAUAAAACGGAAGGAGUAAAUAUGAUGUGAAUCACAAGCAUCUUGAUUUUUGAGUCCUUGGACAAUAGAAAUAUGGUGAGCAAUGUCAAGUAAAUUGAGCCAAUAGGCAGUCGGGUAAUUGAACACGUGUAAUCCAUAAUUAAUCCCUCUCACACCACUUGCUCAAAAGUCCACCACCUCCCCCCCCCUCUUUCUUCCUCUCGCUUUCCUCUUUCUUCUACCACCACCACAUCGUAAAACACACAACACAAAUUAAAAUAUACAUACAGUUUUAAUUUACAGCCGCAAGAUCAGAAACACAAAUAAAAAUCAAUCGCGCAUAAAUUAAGGCGGUGCUUCCGAUCCAUUAAAGCCGGCGAUGACGUCGAAAGUAACAGAUAGGAUUGAACUAGCCAAGCUUUGUAGCUCUAAAGAGUGGUCUAAAGCUAUUCGAAUUCUCGAUUCACUUCUUGCUCAAACCUGCGUCAUUCAAGACAUCUGGUCCCUUACAUUUCUCACUGUUCCAUCCCUUUUUUUUUUCUCUUCUGAUAGCUUGGUGUCCGGGCACCUCAUUUUUUUUUUUGGGAGAUUUAUGAAUGAACUGAUUGAUUUUUUCCUUUGGGCAGUAACCGAGCGUUUUGCUAUAGUCAAUUGGAGCUACACAAGCAUGUUAUUAAGGAUUGUGACAAGGCAAUUCAGCUCGAUCCUAAGCUUCUUCAAGCUUAUAUACUUAAAGGUUCGGUUCGUUUUUCCUUUUGCAUUUCUGAAUUAACUGUUUUUACUGUGCGUUCGUUCAUUCCUAAUUUAUGUGGCACAAAUUCGCAUUUUCAGACUGAAAGAGUUUAAUUUUGACAGUGAAUUCGCUCAUGAAUUUUUAUUUUUUUUAAAGAACAAUAUUUACGUAUUUGGGAACUAGGUAAAAUGUACUUUAAGUCACAAGAAUUGACAGUUCAAAAUUUAUAAAAGAUAUAUGAAAGAAAUUACGGUCAAAGAAAGACUUGUUUGAAUCUCGAAAUCCAAAAGGCUCCACAGAAAUUGGGAUGGAGGGAGUAUGAGAAAAGCCAAAGAAAAUCUAGACCUUAGCAAUCACAUUUGGAAUGUCAAUUUUGAAUGCGGAUAUCUUCUGGUCAGGCAUCCCUAUGGGCCAGUGAAGUCAACUAGAUGAUUAUUCCAGUGAAGCUUCCUUUGAUGUCGUGCGAUGUCCAAUAAACCUUAUCAAUUAGGAGAAGGCAAAUUAGGACAAGGUUUGUGGUGUCAUAACAUGGUUUCCUUAGGUGAGCUUGCAGUAGCAUAAUUGUCAAAAUUUACAAAGUAAAUGACCCACAAACUCGAUUACCUCAGGGAGAGGCGUGUCCAGGAUGCUUUGGCCCCUCGAUAGCACGAGCAUACAUGCUAAAGACGAAGAUAAAUAGUUCCAGGUGGAGAGUUAAUUGAUGUGUUUCACGUCCCUUCCUUUCCUUGAACCAAACACAGUGUUGAAACCUAUGUUCUUAUUGGAACUCACUUAACAGUGUUCUAUGAUUAUCCUUCCAAGGGAUGUUCUUCAGUUCAGUGCAUAUAUUGAUACUGAUAUAUUAUGAAUUUAGCGCGCUAGCAUCAUUCCCUGAAUGGUCAAGGUUGUUCUCUGUGAGCCGGAGGACUUACCUGCUUAGAUUGACUACUGAACAAGUUCAAUGCAUGAAUAGACUUUCCAAACACUUCACAAUAAUUUGUACAGUUUUCUAGUUUGAAUUGUGGUAUUGUCACCGUGUUAGUAGUUGAUUCUCUACUUUUCUCACUGAGUGGACCAAUUAGAAAGGAUAAAAUAAAGUAAAUUUCUGGAUUUGUUACCAGAGUUGGUCUUUAUGAGUUAACACUGUUUUAUGCAUAUGUGGAAAACCUUAGUUAAACAAAUAUAUUGUAAAACUGAUAAAGUAUAUAACUUCCAACAGGUCACCGAGAAUAAUUGGAAUGGGAGGGUCAUUUACUACCUCUCUUACAAUCUAACUGCCUCAAGAUUUAUACAUUCAGAAGUAGAUGGUUGAAUUCUAUGUGCGCGGGGUCCAGGGAAGGGUUUGAUCAUGUUGUGUCUAUUGUGCCUUAGUGCCUUAAGUACCUUGUUUAUAGAAGGCUAUUUCUACGGCAUGAACAUGUGACCACCUGACAUCAUCGCUGCACCUCUGUUGGAUCAAAUAAAAAGUUCAAAUACAUUUUUUCUCUUGUGUGUAACAUAUCCCUUAAAUAAUGACAUAAGAAUCUGUACAACAACAACAAUAUGCCCAAUAUAUAGCCACAAAGUGGGGUCUGGGGAGAGUAAAGUGUGCGCUGUCCGUACCACUACCUCAGAGUGAGCACAAGUACAUCGCCUAUCUUGUGAUAUUAAGAAUCUGUAUCGGCAAUUAUUCUCGUGUGACAUCUGUGGAUUUCCCGUAGAUGUGGUUCUAGGAUGUGCUGCAGAAAUUUGAAUGUUCUUAAAGCUUGAAAAACUGAUAGUUUUAUGCUAAACUGAUUUUGAGUUUGAAGCAUUAUGUAACAAAGUUACUUGAUACUUGUCAUUUAGGACGUGCAUUAUCUGCUCUUGGUAAGAAAGAGGAAGCUCUUCUAAUUUGGGAGCAAGGGUAUGAGUAUGCGGUACAUCAGUCUGCAGACUUAAAGCAACUGUUAGAGCUGGAAGAGCUGCUCAAAAUUGCAAAGCAGAACACCCCAGCUGUCAACGACAAUCAUUUGGUGGAGUCAUCUGGCCCUGAGUCCAAUACUGGGCCUCUGCUUUCUGCCAAAUCUGUUGAAAUUUGUGAUAUUAGUAAGGCCUCAGAUAGGAAGCUUAAGGAAUGCAGCAGUGGUAUGUUGGACAACUCUGAGAAAUCAAAUAAUAGCUCUGUUUUACAAAAUUCCUCAAGUAAGAAUGCCAAAAAGCAUAAGAAGAUCGAGCGUAAAUCAAAUGAUUUUCAUGAGAGACAAGCAAAUAGAACCAACAACAAUUGCAAAAAAGUGGGUUAUCCUUCUCUGGUUUGCAGCGAGUUAAGUGAUACAUCUGAAGACAGUAGGAAAUCAUCUGCAGUAACUAGUGAAUCAAGUGAACAGUCAGAACCAAAUGAUAUUCCGGAAUUUCUCAGUCAGUCGAAUAAUAAAUGCGAUGUUCGCCUUGAGUUGAGUGAUGAAGGCAAGAGAAACAAAAAAUUCUGUGUUGCCAGGAUUAAUAGCAAGACCAAGUCAAUUAAUGUUGAUUUCCGACUAUCAAGGGGAAUAGCACAGGUACAUUGCCUAUCUUGUGGUAUUACAAUUAAGACAGGAAGAAAUAGUCCAUCUAUUGAUAAUUCUGUUAGUGCGGUUGAUCAUAAAUAUGCUAUUCUUGUUUAUUGAAAUUCAAAUAACAGUACAUUUUUAACUUCUAAUAUUUGUGAAGGAUCAGCUGCAAGUGUCACAUUGAGAGUAUUUUCUCUCAAAUUUGCUACUUCUCCGGAGGUAGUGGUAUGGAUUGCGUACAUCUUACCCUCCCCAGACCUCAUUAUGUGGGAAUAAACUGGGUUUGUUGUUGUUGUUGUAUUUUCUCUCAAAUUAAGUAGAGAAAUGAAAUUUUUCUUGAGACAUCUGCUAGGUACCGAGGUUCCUUGCUCAUGCAUAGCAGACUAAGUUUUCUACGACAGUCUUUAUGUCUGUUAUGUUCACUUUGCCUAUGUCAGUUGUAAUAUGCUGAUUACACUCCCACUUUUAUUUUUGUGAACUAAACUGGAAGCUACUGCAUAUGUUGAAGCUUGGGACAACUAAACUCUAUAUUUAGAACUUGUCUUCUUCAGUUGCUAAAUUUUAAUUUCAAACUAGAUUUAGAUUUUUUUAAAAUUUUUUUUUAUCAAUUUUUUUUUGUUAACUCUUAUAUUUGUUAUAAAUUUAUGGAGUUAAAUAACAUAUUUGCAGUAUGCUUGAUUGCAAGUUUUGCUUUGUUUAAACUUAAGAUGUCAAUAAAGGUUUGUGAUAACCGGUCAUUGUUUCUCUCUCUAGUCUCACAUCUCCGUACUAGAGUGGUAUAAAAAAGAGAAAAGAAGAGAAUUGUGGGAAUGUUUAGCUUGAUUAUUUCUUCAAGCUUAUGGGCCUAUUUUUUUCAUAUGCCCCUAAGCCGUGGUGGGUAGAGUUAUUCGGUAUUUGCAUCAGUGGAUGUAGAGACCCACUAGAGAGACCCACUAGAAUACUCGAGAUGCCUGUUGGUCAAUUUUUUUUUCUUAUAUUUGUUAUAAAUUUAUGGAGUUAAUUAACAUAUUUGCAGUAUGCUUGAUUGCAAGUUUUGCUUUGUUUAAACUUAAGAUGUCAAUAAAGGUUUGUGAUAACCGGUCAUUGUUUCUCUCUCUAGUCUCACAACUCCGUACUAGAGUGGUAUAAAAAAGAGAAAAGAAGAGAAUUGUGGGAAUGUUAGCUUGAUUAUUUCUUCAAGCUGAUGGGUCUAUUUUUUUCAUAUGCCCCUAAGCCGUGGUGGGUAGAGUUAUUCAGUAUUUGCACCAAUGGAUGUAGAGACCCACUAGAAUACUUGAGAUGCCUGUUGGUUGUGUUAUUUCUCAAUUGUCCCUCAUUGGUUAAGAAAAGAAAUGCUAAUGGUUUAUAGACUAAAUGGGCUCGCCCACCUGUCAGGCUAGUCUUUUGGGUUGGGAUCUCCGGUUCGGUCUAUAACAAUGGUAUAUUAUUUUUCUUCAAGUUCCAAUUCUAGAAAAUUUUUCUUCAACAAUAGAUGCUCAGAUGUGACUGAAAUCAUGGUUUGCUAUUCUGCUUUGCAAUUGAUCUGACCAUCACGUCUCGUUGCUUACUUUUCAAAGAGAUUAGAUUAUCAUGAUUUAAAGCAUAGUUUUUCUAAAUUGGUUCAUCUAUCUGAGGAACUUGUUGCCCGCUUUACAUUAGAAUAUCCAAAAACUUGUAUGUGUAUGCUGUCGUAAUGCAAUACUACUUGUUCCAAAAAUCUCUUUUGAUAGCAUAGAGAAUAGUAUACAAAAGAUUAAGCUAAACUACCUUUUGUUACUUUGUUUUUGGUGUAAUCAAGUAUAUUCAAAUCAAAUUAUCUCCCUAAUUGAUGUUCUAGAUUCAAUUUAGCUAGGAGUUAGCAGGAUUUGGAAGUAAAAUGUUGUAAUUAUGGUUUUUCAAUGUACUGUUUGUGAGAAAUAUACAAAGUUACCAGCUUAAAAAAAAAAAUCCCUUAAAUGUACUACACUAGAAUGCUGAUUAUGGUAUUUCACUAGGAGCCUACAAAGGCUGUUUAACCACACUAGCUACCAAUUAGAUGACGUGUCAUGCAAUUGUGAAAUACUGGAGUAUGCCAACCGUUCCUUGAUAUUGAUCCAGACCUUCUAGAGACGUCCAUCUGAAAAACAGUUUCAACAUUUGGAUUUGUAGAAAUAUCAAUAAGUUUGCAAUCUAGUAUACCUUGUUUCUUCCUAUAUAUCAGGUGGAUACUUCUUAUUUUGCUCACUCUUAAAAAAUGUCGAUGGGUGCGUGUUGGAUCAUCCAAAAAUAGUGUAUUUUUGAAGAAUCUGACACGGGUUCGGCAACAUUUUUGAAGAUUCGGAGCAACUUAGGAUACUUCCUUUAUGAAAUUAACUAGUGUCCAGAGGCCCAUGCUAAGCCGCCUAAACUCAAGAUUUAAAAAAAAAAAAAGAAUUUUAAAAAAAUUUAUAUAAUUUUUUUAACUUUAUAAUUAAUAUAAUUUAAUGGUAUAUUAAACAUGUCUUGUUGCUAAAUCUUCAUAAUUAUUCGAGUUCUUAAUCAUAUAAACAACAAAAACAACAUACCCAUUAUCCAGUGUAGUCCCACAAAGUAGUGUUUGAGGAGAGUAUAAUGACCUUACCUUUACCUUAGUUGUUUCAGGUUGACCCUCGGCUCAAGACAAAACAGUCUAGAAAAAGUUCUUAAUCACAUAAUUGGAUAAUUUUAAAUAAAAAAUUAUGUGUAAGGAAGAAAGAAGCCGAAAAAGUAGAAAAUAAAAAACCACAAGUCAUUCAAUAUCUUAUAAAUUAACAUGAUUUAAAAUAUGUAAAUAGUUAAGAUUCGGCGAAGAUCAUACAUCGAAAUAUGUUGACAAUUUUUAUGAAUUUGUGAGUGUGUAAUUUCUUAGUUACAUAUAGAAAUAAAUUUAUUUUUAAACUUAUUAAGUUUUAACUGCGCUCAUAAUUUCUUGUGGCUAGAUCUUUUUGUAAAAUUCAUUUUUUAUUAUUUUAUAGAAUCGUCUAAUACAACAAAAUAUUUCAAUGACUUUAAUUUUAUACUAUAAUAAUUAUUCAUUAAUACCUUAUUUAGAUCCUUUACACAAAUUAACCUAGUAUCUAUAAGGAUAUUAAAUAAUAAUCAAACUAUAUUACUAAACUACUUCAUUUGGUCCAUUUAGUUGCCAUGUUUAUUUUUUUAUGUGCCCUUGAAAAGAAUACCCUAUCCAUCCCACUUUUUAAUCCAUGUUGCUUGGACUUUUCUAAAAUGUCAAUUGGUGGAUGUCGGAUUCUCCAAAAGAAGUGUAUUUUUGGAGAAUCCGACACGGGUGGGGCAUCGAAAGAGAAGAGUGUGCAAUUUAGUUUUUAGUUAUCGCUUUAUCUUUUUUCAUGUCCACUAAGAAAAAUAAUAAAUACAAGGUAUUAUUUAUCAAGUUACCCUAUUUAUUAUAUGUUUUUGAGAAUUGAACCAUAUUAUAAAGAACUAUAAGGGUGUAGUUGAAAGUUAUUACAAACUUUAAUUUGUGUUAAAAACUAUCUUGAAAUUAUCUUUUAAAGCUAAAGUGCUUGUUAAUUUAAAACAAAGGGAGUUUUAUCUUAAAACGUUGUCUAAUUAAUUAGGGAAAGAAGAGACCAAUUACAAAAGUCCAAGUGGGAUUACACGGGGUAUGUUGCUGUUAUGCAAUAUUCCUAAAAUUUCUAUACAUGUUUCCUAAUCUAAGUCAGUGUUAUCAAAGGUGUGCUUAAAGCGCGCCUAAGCCCUCAAGCGAGGCUCAAAACGUGACUUACUUGAAAGAAGUUUCAAAGGCGAUCGCACCCAUGCGGAGAUUCAACGUAUAUAAUUAACCAGGACUUGAGUUAAAUUAUUUCUUUCUAUUCCCAUGUCCUGGCUAGCACAAUUAAUUUCCUCUUCUUAAAUAUUUAUUCGUGGGUAAUGAUAGAUUUUCUUCCAUCUUCCUGUUAAGUCCAUUAUAUUUAGUCAUCUCUUCAUUGUAUUUAAUCGAGAAAUAUGGUCAGCGAGGAUUCGUCUAGCCGACCCUGACUCGCUUGUUAUUGAGGCGUGUAGUAAUAGUUGUUAUACUCGUCAUCUUGUACCAAACAUAGAAGUGAAACAAUAUUUCUGGUGAUUUCAGGUUAAUGAAGGAAAAUAUGGUAAUGCUGUGUCCAUCUUUGACAAGGUUAGCAUUAGCCUUGCAGCUUUCAUUAUUUUAUUAAUUUUGUCUACGAGAUGUACCUUGUGCUUUAUUUUUCCCCUUUUCAUGUCUGGUUUAUGGAUUCAAUGGAAGAUUUGUGUGUGGCAUGCUGAACUUACUUACAGAUCUUCUUCUCUUCUACCUAAAAUACAGAUACUAGAACAAGACCCUACGUAUCCCGAAGCACUUAUCGGCAGGGGAACAGCGUUGGCAUUUCAAAGAGAACUUGAUGCAGCUAUUUCUGAUUUUACAAAGGUUUGCAUUGAUUUGGCCAUUUAAGUACCAACUGAGGUAAUACUCCGACCCCUGUUGUACAUAUUUGCGUUUCAGGCUAUACAAUCAAAUCCAUCUGCUGGUGAGGCCUGGAAACGCAGAGGGCAAGCACGUGCUGCUUUAGGUGAAUCUGCUGCGGUAUGAAACUCGUAUUUGUCUAUUUAUUGAGCUGUCUUUUGGGCUUUGUGUUCAUGGUAUUCUUUUCUGUAAUUUUUUUUUUCGAUGUCAACUUUCAAUUAUUUUUUUCGUGGAUGUGAUGCGCAAUGUAAAUGUUGUGGAAUUGCUGACUUUUAGCAUUUGUGCUAUCAGAUUCUAAAACCAAAAUUUUCAUUAAUAGCAAUCAGACUCCAUUUAGACCAAUAGGAAUAUUAUCAAGAUGCACUUGAACAUUUUCCUUCAGAUUCAAUGAUGGAAGAUGAAAUGGCUUUGAGUGGUCUAGCAGCUAAGGCUUGAGCUAUAUCACAACUUAUGACCAUCUUCCAGUAGAAGUCAACAUUUAAAAUGAAAUCAGGAUCAUAAAAUUUUUCAGCUGCAUGCUUUUAAUCAUGGGAGUUUCUUGGUAGUUUAGUACAUAGUUUUAACACUUUGAUGGUUUUAGCUUCAGUUUCUUUUGCUCCAAUGAUCACAUGGAGAGUGAUAGUAGUUACGGGUAAAGGCUUUUUACACCCUAAAAGGCUUAGUUUCACAAUAAUAAUAGUAUGAUUCAUGUUGGUGUAUCUUAACAAAAUGAUUUCCGCCAGGCAAUUACAGACCUGACCAAAGCAUUGGAGUUUGAGCCAGACUCUGCUGAUAUCUUACAUGAAAGAGGUGACGAGACUGAAAUCUUUCAUGAUUAAUUCGAUUUGUGUUGUUAAAGUAGUUAGACGUUAAGUUGCUCAGACGCUCCAAAAAUGUUGCCGCACCCGUGUCGUAUCCUUCAAAAAUACACUAUUUUUGGAGGAUCCGACAUGCAACCGUUGACAUUUUUUAAGAGUCCGAGUAACGUAUUAGACAUAGUCUUCCUGUAAUUAUAAUAGCAAAAGGCAUAUUUACUUUCUGUAGAUCUUUUUAUGGUUGAUAGAUUAUGCGCGUCAUUUGAAACUUCCAAUAUAUUAAGGUUCACUUUCAUCUUUCUUACAGGACCGAGAUUAGUUAUUAAGGCAUAUAGGUGGUUUUAUCUUGUAACUAUUUUGCAUUGAAUGACCUCUAGCUGAAUGUUUCAUAAUUACUUGAGAGUCCAAAAUAUAUCAUUUCAUUGGACAAGAGAUGUUCAAUCUGACAUGGGAGUCACUCACUCUGCUUAAUUACUGUAGGAAUUGUCAAUUUUAAUUUUAAGUUUAAAGAUUUCAAAGGUGCUGUUGAAGACCUCUCUACAUGUGUAAAGUUUGAUAAGGAUAACAAAUCUGCGUAUACAUAUUUGGUGAGUCUAUGACCUUGAGCCGACUAAUUGUUGUAGAAUGAGCUAACAAUGUUUAUCCGCAUGAGUUUCAGAUUUUUUUUGAUAAAUAAUGAUAUAAUGCUGGUCGAAAAAAUUGGAAAAUUAUCAGGGCCUGGCUUUAUCCUCUCUAGGAGAAUAUAGAAAGGCUGAGGAGGCACAUAAAAAAGCAAUCCAAAUUGAAAGGAAUUUCCUUGAGGCUUGGGCUCAUCUUGCACAGGUAUCUCCAAAUAUAUGCUGAAUACACUUAAUCCUAUUUGUCCUGCCAAACGGAAUCCUAAUACUUCUAUUGGUAGAACUAAUGAUAUAGAGUCCCUUCAUGAGGAAGUUGCCAUUUGAUUUCGAAAAUUUUCCCUUUGUUUUACCAAGUUCUUGUUUAUGUUUUUCUCUUUUUUCACCGGCAUGUAAACAACCUUUCUGAGGUGAAUAUAUACUUCUCCAUAUAUGUUAUGAAAUUCAGGAAUCGGGAUUUAAAUGGGAAGCACACAGUCAACUGCCUAACCAGUGAUGUGCUCUCUGUUUUCAGAUAUUGUGACAGUGUUCAUCUUCUGGGUGCAAUGCUCAUUUAUUGUAAUAGCUUAUGUUGCAUUUCAAAUGGGCUUUCCUAAUUAGCUGGUUGAUGUUAUUGAGAUUAUUAGUUUACAGGAUCAAAUUAGAUGUUUACAGAAUAUCUGUUGCUUUAAGUUUUUUUGAGACAAAGGCAGUUAUAUCUGUUGCUUUAAGUUAGAAAUUUCAAAGACUCUAGAGCUGCUCUGAACCUUGUCCAAAAAUAAAUAAAUAUAGCUGUUCUGAACUAGUUCUUGAUUGGUUGAGGUUUUUAACUUAUUCUAAAUGUGGGCAAAACAAUGAGAUUUCUUUGUAGAUAUUUUUCUAAUGGUGUAUUGACAAUUGAAGAAUCUUUAUCUUUGGUGGCAGUUUUAUCAAGACCUAGCAAAUUCAGAGAAGGCCUUGGAAUGCCUUCAUCAGCUUUUGCAAAUAGAUGGGAGGUAAUAACUGAGGAUCUCAUGUUGAUACUUACAUGUUUGUCACUGAUAAAUAAUUUUUUUACUUAUUUUAGUUAUCUAAUCUUGAGUAUUUGAAUGCUGAAGUGCAAACCUAUCCUUAAAUCAGAAAAAGCUGAUAAUCCGUCCUCUAUUUAUCCUUUUUCGUUGAAAGGUACGCAAAAGCAUAUCACCUGCGUGGGUUGCUACUUCAUGGAAUGGGAGAGCAUAGGUACAUAUCUCAAUCGUUAAGGAAUUGAUUUGUGGGUUUUUCCUUAUGAAUCAUUUUGUGGUUUUUUCCUUCUGAAAAUCCUUUGUCCUGAGUACUUUUCUCUCUUUCUUUUUCAAGUUUGCUAUACGUAAUCCUCCUUCAGUGAAAAAUAUAACAUGAAUUAACUGCCUAUGUAUACUGUUACAGGAAUGCUAUAAAAGACUUAUCAAUGGGGUUGUCUAUUGAUAGUGCAAAUAUUGAAUGCUUGUAUCUGCGAGCUUCUUGCUAUCAUGCUAUUGGAUUAUAUAAAGAAGCUGUAUGAGAGUGUUCAAACUCUUCUCUUGUGACUUUGAAUAUUCUUAUUAAAUAUUUUAAGGUACUUGUUGGCUCCAAUUUCGGGUUAUUGAUUCUGAAUUUAUGCUGUAGGUGAAGGAUUAUGAUUCUGCUUUAGAUCUUGAAUUAGAUUCUAUGGAAAAGUUUGUGCUUCAAUGCUUGGCGUUCUAUCAGGUAAAUAAAUAUUUGGAGAUCCAAAUAUCCGUCCAUCAAGCCGGUUCACUGUUAUGCUUGUUCUUAAUAUUGUUUUCUUUUGGUUGUUGCACUGAUUUCUUUUUGUUUUAUAAGUCUUGGCAUCUCCAUAACCGUCUAGCUUUUACCUUGCUGGAAAAUUUCUAGAUCCUUCUGUUGUACUAAUAAUACAUCAUAAAAAUCAACUGGUCAACUCAGAUUUCAAAUUUUAGAUUUGCCUUUUGGGUAGUUAGCUUUACAUCUACUUUAGUUAGUAGUCAGAAAUUUAGCAAUAUUACGUUUCCCACAUAUUGUCCAAACAUUGUCGAAAUUUCUGACCGUCAUUUUGUUCCGUUAAGCCACUGUGGGACAGUGUAGGUCAAAGCAGCAGAUUUGGGUGCAGGUGAGCAAAGCCACGCUUGACUUUGUUUAAGCUUGAUUAUUACUGAGUUUAGGUGUCUAGCAAAUUCAAACCUAGCACAAAUAUCCCUACCAAAAGAUCGAGUCGACAUAUGCUAGCUUGCAAACCUAGUUAAAUUGGCUAGUGUUUUUCUCACUUUACUAUCACACAUAAGGUAUAAUAAGCUUUUCCUUCCUGUCCCAUUUAUCAAUCCUGUGGAAAUUCUUUUCAUCCUAGUUGCAUUCUAUCCUUCUAGUUCUUGCGAACAACCUCCUGCUUCUUCCCUGCGACAAAAUGGCUUUCAGGCGCAACCCUUAUCAUGAGUCACCAAUUGAUUUUCUAUCUCUGUAAGCAUUUGUCGAUUUCUAUUUCAGUUUGAAUAGCAUAUGUUUUACCGUUUAUUUUUCUUUUGCAGAAAGAAAUUGCAUUAUACACAGCAUCAAAGAUAAACAGCGAAUUUUGUUGGUUUGAUAUCGAUGGAGAUAUCGAUCCCCUUUUCAAGGUAAUGUCUGAAAAGAGAAUAUAUUGCUUUAGUUAAUCUAUAAUUUCAAGAGCCCGAGGAUAUAUCUUGACAGCAACACUCACUAGAAACAAAAAGGGAAUAUUGUGAUAGCAAGAGCCUGAGGUUUUAUUUUGACAGCAUCACUCAUUAGAAACAAAAGAGAAUAUUCUGAUAGCAUCCGUACCAUCUCUUUAUGAGAGAAUUGGGAGAAUGAAUGAAGUUUGUUGGUAUAGCAAAAAGUACAAUUUGGUGGGAAUUACAUAGAACUUUGAAGGUUUGCAGAGAAUUGGGAGAACGAAUGGUUGUUUAAAGAAAUAAGGCCUUACUGAUUAGUUUUGAAUUGGAUUGUAAGAGUCCCUGAAGGAUUUAACCCUGAAAUCACGUGAAAGCACCACUCUGUCAAAGUGGUUGUACAUUUUAUCAUAUCAUUUUAACGUGCUCAGACACUAAUAUUUAGAGUUCUCGUUUUUAAGCUUCAAACCGUUCUUUAGACAUUAGAGUCCCCAUCAUUUCCUAACCCUCGGCUAAAUGGUUGGAAAAUGGUAUUUACUAUCUUGUGAACCAUUUGUCUCAUAAGAUUGCUAUCAUAGCUUCAUGGCAAUAACUUUAUCAUGCACGAGUGACCAUGGGUUCAAGGACUAUCUAGAAACGUAAAGGUUAUUGUCACUGAGUUGCUGCCAUAAACAUUGCUUGCACUUUAAUUAUGUUCUUUAUUCAGUGCAUAUUGUUCCUGCAUAGUUAGUUGCCAAUGUUCGUUUGCUGAUCCAAGUCGAAUAGGUGUGGGUUUUUUUUUUUUUUUUUGGAAAUUGGUAAUUUUGUAUUCUUCGGCAUUAGGAUAUGCUGGCCACCUUCAAAUAUUCAUCACAAAAUUACAGAUUUCCCAUCAAGUCAACAAUUUGAUCUACAUCCUCCGUACAUAGUUGUUUACACCCAAAAAGUAAAGAUAUUAAACAAUUCCAUUUUACUUUGUGAAUGAAAUUGGAUCUAUAUUCAAAACAUCUUCCAUUCCUUUCUCUCCACACGGACCACCCUACAGAUGACAUUAUCAUUCCACCAUCUCUUUUGAGUCGUACUUCCCCCUCUUCUGAUCCAACAGCUGAAUAAAUCUGUUGUGUGCUCUGGUAUGGUCCAACUAAGACUGGUAAUCUUGAGAAAAAGUUCCCCAAGUUGAGUUGUGAACUUGCAAUGUAGAAGAGGCGACUGUAGGAAUGGGUGUGGGUAUCUAGUGCGGAUUCUUGAAAAUGCCAAAAGUUUUGCAAAACGUUACUAGUAUCCAUAUGGGUAGAACAAAAUACUGAUUCCAGUCAGGAGAUAUUCAAUGAGGGAGCACAUGCAAAUAUUAGUGACAGGUUUCUUGAGUGAUAUAUAGGCUUCAGUUCAUAAACCUAGCGGUGCUUUAAUCACUUUUAUACACCUGGAGGGUCCAGGGUGACACCUUUACAAAGUUAAUUGUCAGGGGCAAGUCUUUGAUAUGAAACAAUGAUUUGCCAAUAAUCAUUUUUUGUAUAUCUCUGGGAGCUAAAGUGGUAAAUACCUCUAUGAAGUGAACUGUCAUCUGAAAAGCGCUUUUGUUGGCAGGAAAUUCCUUUUCAUAAAAGUUAUUUAUUUCCACUGGCUUCGUGUUCUUAUGCUUUUUCUCAAUUCUUCCAUUUUCUUUCCCUCUGUUCUCAGGAGUAUUGGUGCAAAAGGCUGCACCCAAAAAAUGUUUGCGAAAAGGUCUACAGGCAACCUCCUUUAAAAGAAUCUUUGAAAAAGGGAAAACAAAGAAAGCAAGAAUUUACUUUCACCAAGCAAAGAACUACGCUUCUACAGGCUGCAGAUUCUAUCGGCAGGAAUAUCCAGUAUCAUUGCCCUGGUUUCUUGCAUAAUAAGCGCCAGGUAUAUUCUAAAAGAGUUGAAUCUUUUUUUUUUUUGAUAACUGGUAACAUUAAAAAAGUUGAAUCGUAAGUCAACUGUGAUUUUUUUUUCUUUUUAACCCCAGAGCUCUACAUGUUCAUUGAGAAACCUGAUUGUGAUUUCCCAUUGCUUGCUUAAAUGCCUUUUUAUGCAUUGCUUUCACAUCUCCACUGGAGUUACAUUAAUAUAGAUGAUGAGAUAAUUGAAGGAAAAGAAUAUGAAAAUAUUACCAGAAGCUUUUGUUUGAGUUGUUAGCCUUGUGAUUGAGGGAUUUGGACUGAUAUGCAAAUAAGAAGAGUAAGUUCUUGUAUAAGGAAUGUUACCCUCAAUUUGUAGCGUAACAUUCCAUGAAAUAUAAAAAUUAAGGAAUUCAUCUCAAAUGAGGUUAUCGUAAAAGAAAAAGAUAGAAUUCAUCUCAAAUGAGAUGAUGCUCUAUUGUUAUUUGUCAACCGAACUUUUUCGCUAUUUGUGGACUAGUGUUCUAUCUUCUCCUUGCACAGAGAAAGAGAUUUGGAUCGUAAAGGCAGUUUAACAUUUUAUAUUCCACAGUUCGAAUGAUAACUUUUUAACCAUGUCAAAUAAGAUAAUGGUGACUGUCAAGUCUACAUUUCUUGUGAAAAUGUCAAAUGAAUAACAUGCAACUUAUAAUAAUUCUUAUAGAGGUGAAUAUUUUCCACCAAAUGAUGUUAUGCUAAAAAUUUCCAAGUUUUGAUAUUCAUUUAGUGUAAAAAGAGGUGAAGACAAGUUACUUGAGUCAAAGUUGAUAUUUGUCAAUAUCUUUAGCAAUCCUCACUGUUGCUGUGAAGCGUCUGCCUAGUCAUCCCAAGGAAAAGAGAGAAUUUGGGAACUUCUUUUCCUUGUUCUCUAUUCCCUUCACUUUUGUGUUGACCUCUUAACCAUAUAUUUACCAAAAAAAUGGCUCUUUAAAAUGUUCUAUUAUCCUUUUAGCUAGUCUAUCUAAGCACCUUCAAAUCAGUUGUAUUGGUUGUUUUCUCAAAUGUCGAUUUGGUUCUGACUUUUCAACCAUUGAUGGGGCUUUUGCACUGGCAUAGGCAUGUCUCAUCAUAGAUAUCAACCAUUGAAGAUAAAUGAGUAAUGAAAACACACAUCAAAUAUUAAAUGCCAACUAUUAGAAACAUGAGCAGAGGACAAACUGCUAAUAUACAUAAUUUCUUCAAGGCAAUAAGUUCUGGGAAUAACUUUUAGUAUAUAUAGUCGAUUGGUUUUCUAAGUAGGUCUUUGUUUUCAAAGCACGAUUCACCAUAAUUUACAUUACAAACUUGAAGGAAUAAAGUUCCCAAGAAAAUUGGCAACUCCUCAACCUUCUAAAUUUGGAUCGUCUCCCUCCUGUAAUCCCUUUGAUAGUAUUAUCAAAAUGUCUUGUAAACCGCUUGAGUUAGUCCCUCGGUGGAGGAACAAAAUAACCAUUGGAGUGGUUUGAGUUGGCACUCUGCAUUGUUCGCUUUAUCCAGAUAUAUCACUUUAGGCUGUAAGUUUAAUUGAUACGUGACGCCGUGGGGGGUGGUUAAACAUUUAGGGGUCGUUUGGUAGAGUGCGUUAAAAAGAAUAGUGUUGCAUUAGUCUUGUGUAUUACUAGUAUCAUGUUUAGAGAAUUUUUAGCCUAUGUAUAACUAAUGCUUGUAUUAGUUAUAUACUUUAUUGUGUAUUGAGGUUUGUAUUACUAUUACCUCAAAAUCCAUGGUAUUAGUAAUGCAAUGGAUUUUAAUGCAUGCUAUUAAAGACAUUUAUUCCUUAAAAAAAUUUCCACAUCCUUUCCACCAUAUAUAUAGAUGGUGUUUUUGUAAAAAAAAAAAUAUACUUUUUAGAAAUUAUGCAAUUCAUGUUAUUUUUAAUAUACUAAAAUGCAAGCAUAACUAACACAUGCAUUACUAAUACACUAUAUUUUGCAUUAUUCUUGUACGUUCUAUCAAACGACCCCUUGAAGGUUCAUAUUGUGCUACAGGCCUGUCACGACUCAACUUUUCAGGUCAGGAUGGCGUUUACCAUAAUCCACCAGUAGGCAAGCCAACCUGUAGUCCGGAACAGCUAGUAACGGACUACUCAAUAACAUAAGGAAAAGAAUGCGGAAUAUAUGAGAUAAAGAUCAAUACAUUGAUGAAUCCCAAAACCUGGUGGUAUCACAAGAGCUUCUAAACAUAAUAAGAGUAAAAAGUGAUAUAUCAAGGAGAAAUACACUGGUUCAACUUACCUCUGAAUACAACUUAGAGGCUAGUCUAAUACAUAGGAGAGAGAUAAGUAAUACUCCGAACGCCAGGAGCUCACUCUAAGUCUCCAAAUUAGGGCUACUCCACACGAUGCACACAUCAACGGCAAUAACUCGUACUAUGAUCUGCAGGUUGCUGAGGUGGAGUAUGAGUACCAAACGAAUGGUACUCAGUAGGCAACUGCCAACUGAGCUCCAAAGAUAAAGUAGAUAUAUACAACAUAUAAAUAGAAUGGGAACUACAACCAAGAGUCUAUAAAUCAUGUAAUAAGCCAAUGAGAAUAACAAGGGACAACUAUCCUAUUCAUGUCCAAGAGUCUAACAUAAUAAGACUAGGGAAGUAUCAAGGUGAACUAUCUUAUUUCAGCUACAUUCAAUAUAUGCCAAAGCUAUACCGUAUAUCCCAGGUCAAUAUACAGAUAAAGAGCGAAAGAAAGGUAUAUUGUAAUAUACAAGGCGAAGGAACGACUAUACAAUAUGAACAACGAAGAAAGGGAUAUCCGAUAGUACCAUGACUUCAUAUAGCUCUCUCUCUCUAUAUAUAUAUAUAUAAUUAUAUAUAAUACAUAUAUACAGGAGGUGAUCUCAAACAUAACCUAGAUCGUUAUGUUCUUAUUUUAAGACCUUAUUAUAAUACUAUCAGGAUUCAAUACCAACAUACUCAGGAUUUCUAAUCCAUAUGGCUAGACAGAGAAUAAUCGUGCAUAGUAAUGUAAUCAUAAGAUAGCAAAGGUCGAAGACAUACCUCAAUCCCCAUACCGGAUUCAUGACCAAUCUGUCAUAGGCUAGCCACAAUAAUGAUCAUAACAAUGAUAAUAACAAUAUCAAUAACAUCGUAAAUAACCGGCUACUCCAGACAACCAAAUACCUAGCCGAGCCUAUGUGUUCCCCCACCGCCCCAGACUCGAAAGGUUCAAUCAACAUAUAACACCACAAGGCAUAUUCUUCACCCAUAUCUAUGCAACCGUCCCAUACCGGCUGAUAGACAUAGGUGCAUACUGGUGAUAGGCAAUGCACAUGCAAGAAUGAAUGCAAAGUAUACCAGUUGCUCGACAUCGGUGCAUACUGGUGAUAGGCAAUGCACAUGCAGGAAUGAAUGCAAAGUAUACCAUCAAUAUCACAACUCAUAAUAACUGUCCUCAUCAGGACCAUCAUCAUCAUAAUCAACCUCCGACCUUGCCAAUCAAUAUCAUCUCAAAAGCAUCCUCCGGACUCGAACCGGGUAUCAGUAUCAUCAUAAUUUCCUCCGGCCUUGCCAGGAAUCAAUAUUAUCUCAAUAGUAUCCUCCGGACCCGAACUGGGUAUCAAUAUCAUCAAAAUAUCCUCCGGCCUUGUCGGGAAUCAAUAUCAUCUCAAUAGUAUCCUCCGGACUCGAACCGGGUAUCAAUAUCAUAAUAUCCUCCGGCCUUGUCGGGAAUCAAUAUCAUCUCAAUAGUAUCCUCCGGACUCGAACCAGGUAUCAAUAUCAUAAUAUCCUCCGGCCUUGUCGGGAAUCAAUAUCAUCUCAAUAGUAUCCUCCGGACUCGAACCGGGUAUCAAUAUCAUUAUAAUAUCCUUCGGCCUUGCCGGGUAUCAGUAUGUCAUCACAAUAUCCUCCGACCUUGCCGGGUACCAAUGUAUCAUCAUAACUCUCAACACAUAAAUAUAGGCAUAUAAUAGGUGCACAGACACAAGCCGAUAUACUCAUAACCGUAAAGAUGUCUAUCUUAUCAAUACAUCACAACUACUCGUUAUUAGCUAACCAACACUUAUUACUAUUAAACCGCUAGUUCGCUAGUCAUCACAUAACCUCUAGUUAUUAGCCUAAACAUUAUCCUUCACAUAAUCCUUGUUCACUGGAUAACAACUAACCACUAUUCAUUUAAUAGUCAACAUCUGACAUCUAGUCUAGGUUUAUCAUUAGACCAAAACCGUCAUUUAUCCACCAUUCAUUAUUAUCAACUAUUCAUCCUAUUUUUGUUAAUCAUUACUAGACAACACAUUACUACUUGUCGCCUAACCAUCCUUUAUUAAAUGACAUCAUUAAUUAACUGACCAUUGUUAGCUACCAUGUUCCAACUAAGCAAGAUUCAUUAACUGAUACAUUAGCUUCCUAGCCAUCAAGUGUAAUCUUCAGCUAAUAGGCAACUAGUUACCACAUAGCUUAACCGUCUAACAAGAAGAACAACCAUAAGAUCAUAUUUCAGCUAUAAUCACAUCAUUUAAAAUGGUAAAUAAUCAUGAAUGUACCAAACCUAUGCAUGCCAUCACUAGUAUUCAGUCAGUGGAAUAAUAAGCAUCAUACUGCAUCUUCCUCCGUCCCAUACCGGAGAGAUGUGUAUACAAACAUAUACAUAGUCAUAUUCAUAAAUCGCAGUCAUAUCAUUCACAACUAUAAACACUUCUUGGAUAUUUAAUCAGUACUAUAACACGGCCCUUGGCCCAUUAAUUUGUUCGGAAUAAUCACAUCAUAAUCAUGACCUUAGGCCCAUAUACAUUUUCGGAACUCAUAUCAAUAAUCAUAUGUAUAAGCCGUAGCAUACCUCUAAUCAUCUCACAUAUAGAAGGCAUCUCACAUAUAGUAUGCAUAAUAUAGAUAGACGUGUAAUUGUCUAUAGGAUAUCAUAUAUCAAUAGGUCAUACGCCAAGACAACAAGGAAUAUCGCUUCUCUAGGCCAAUUUACAUAUCCAAAAUGACCAUCAUCUCUAUAGGUCCAGUAAUCAUGACUAAAGGCAAUAGCAACUCUAUAGGCCAAAUAUCAAGUCUAAGAGGAAAUAUUAUUUCUAUAGGCCAAAUAUCAAGUCUAAGAGGACAUAGCAUCUCUAUAGGCCACAUAAUGUAUCUAGGAGGAAUAUCACCUCUAAAUGCCCAAUAUCACUUCCACAUGUAGUAUCAUAACCAUAACUAAAUAGCCACAAUCUUGAAACAUCAAUACAAGUUACCAAGUUAUGAAGUAACCUUAGAAUAUGGUUUGCUAGCCUCAUCUAUGUCUAACAUCCGCAACUAAGUUCACAAGACUUAACAUAAGCUUAGGCCUAAGUGGGUCGAACGAUCCCACUUCUAAUCCAUAAUUUUCAUAAUUAGGCAUACUAUGCUCCAAACUAGGCUAAGGUAUUUAGUUCCAUCUUCUAUAUAUCAAGCAAGCCAUAUUAAAGUCUAAGAUAGUAACUUCGACUAGAAACAAGGGUACUCAAGUCACCUCUACCAAACUUACGGUUCCAAAACUAUCAUGCUAGCCCAAUAAGGCUAAAUAUACAAAUCAUGCUUCAAAUGCUAAAACCAUAUUCCAAGCAUAGCAUUAGAUCAUAUCCAUGCUACAAAUUUAUCCAAACUAGGGAGAAGGCAAUAGGAUUCUACAAGGGUAUUAAGUAAUUCAACCUACGGGUCAAAACCCCCAUCUAAUCCCCAAACUUAUAUGUAUAAUCAAUAUUAAGUCAUUCUAUUCAAUAUCAAUCUUAACAUUCACAUUCACACGCAAUAUAUAUCAUACAUCAUCCAUGAAGAGUUAGAUAGAAGCCUACCUCAAGGCUAAACCGCAAAAUCACACUUCAAGUAACACAUGCUCGUCUUCAUUUCACAAUCCCCAAAAUGCCAUCACACUAUCAAAAAUAUAAUCUACUCAUUAAUAUGAGUCUAACGAUACCCAUAUUGCACUAUUGUGCUUCGGGUCCAAAAAAGACACCAAAAACCCUGUGGGGACACGUACGGAAAUUGCGUUCCCGAGGUCAACCCAAUGCUCAUACAUCACCAAGGAAUCAUAACCCUCAAUGAGUUGGUGAAAACAAACCAAAUUUAGGGCUAAAUCAAGCCCUAAGCUAAAUUGGAGUUUUGGGUCAAGAACUAAGAAAUUCACCAAUAAAGUGAUAAAAUCUUACCUUAAUCCGGAUGAUAAUCAUGAUAAAAGAUGUUUACCAAGCUCCCUAGACACCCACAAGACUCAAUUUUAAGUUAUCAUACCCAUUUAGGGUUUUAGGCUCUCAAAAAUGAGUCAAAAAUGGUGAAAAGCACGGCUAUAGGGUGCUUAAAUACCCAUACCAGCUUUGGAGAUCCGCAGUCGCUGUCUGGGCAUCAGCAAAGUCAAAAACUUAUUUUUGACCCUCGAAACUCAUUCGGAAACCAAAAUAUAUGAUCCAAUAGUGAAAUUUGAGUGUAAACCACAUUUCAGAUUCAUUGGAAUCAUCAAAACUUUCAUCCGAGAUCAUUUCAAUCAAAAGUGGGUCCCACACCUAUUCAUUCAAAUUUUCAAUUUUCCGACCAAUAGGUCGAAAUGAGCUACGGUGCAUUGGGACCCGAACCAAAGGUCUACCUAAACGAAAAUUGAUAUUCCGAAUCUGUUGGCGUAGUCAGAAUUUGCAUACGGGAUCGUUUCGCUGAAGUUUUCGCUCGGUGGCCAUUUAGAACCAGUAAAGACUUCUAAACAAGAAAUUGACUCUAAAAACCAAACGAACUGCCCGGUAACCAAACAGUCGGUCCCAUCAAGUCAUAAAUGACUUGGGGCAGCUAUAGAGAAGCUCAAACAGUGAAGAUUAGCAUAAAAAUGGAAAAUGACCUGAAGGGUCAUUACAAGGCCAUGUCUAUGAUUGGUUCUGUCUCAAGUUUGGGGAGACACUUGUAAGAAGCAGUUGGGCUUCAGCCUCUAAUUCUGUAUGUUGUGGAACAAUUUCCUUUGCUAACAUGAUGCUCUUUGUAGUUAUUUAGUUGAGUUAGUUUGUGUACUGGUAGAAUACUGUAGUAUUAGAUUUGUGCCUUUCUUUCUUGUGUUUCUUUUUCAUGAUCAAAAAUUCUCUCUAGUAAUCUUGUGAAGAGGAUCUAUGUUGUGAAGCAAUUUCCUUUGUUAACAUGAUGCUCUUUGUAGUUAUUUAGUUGAGUUAGUUUGUGCAAUGGUAGAAUACUGUAGUAUUGGAUUUGUGCUUUCCUAACCUGUGUUGGUUUUUUAUGAUCAAAAUUUAUCUUUACUUAUCUAGUGAAGAUGAUCUAUUGCACCAAGUGUAUCUGUUAGACCUUCCUUUCUUUUGCAUUAAGGGAUUGCUCGGUAGUGUAUAAGAUGCAAAAUAUGGUGUUUUAGUAAUGUUUGUAUUAGCUAUGCUUGCACUAGUUAUGCCUGUAUUUUUUUUUAUGCAUUGUUUGGUUUGAUGCAUUAAAAAUAACAUAAAUUACAUAAUUUCUAAAAAAAAAUAUUUUUUUUUACAAAAAUACCCUCCAUAUAUAUGUUGGAAAGGAUGCGGAAUAAAAUUUGAGGAAUAAUUAUGUAUUUAAUCUUGCUAAUGCACGCAUUAGAUCCAUUGCAUUGUUAAUGCCAUGAAUUUAGAGGUUUUAGUAAUACACACCUCAAUACACAAUAGAGUGUAUUUAGUUAUACAUAGGCUAAAAAAUGUACCAAAUAAGGUACAUUAUUCUUUUUAAUACACUCUACCAAACGACCCCUAAAGGUGAUAUAAUUUCUUUACUGCAGAUUUUGUAAAUUUUUGUGGAGUCAACUAUCUUUUUUAAUUUGAUAAGUAAUUUAUAUGCUGUUCUUUAGCUACAAACAUGCUUCCUACAAUGUUGUCAUUUUUUAAUUCAUAUCUGCUGAUAUUUUUGCAAUUAUCAGCACCGCAUGGCAGGGUUAGCUGCUAUUGAGAUAGCACAAAAAGUCUCAAAAGCUUGGCGUGCCUUACAAGCUGAAUGGCGAAACUCUACCAAAGGCACAACAAAGUCUGGGAAGAGACUCAGGAGAAGAGAAAAACUAAAUUCCAUUAGUUUAAACAGAGGUGGAGCUGGUUGCAGCACUAGCAGUUCCUCAGAAACAUCUACUUCGUACAGUUUGAUUGACGAUAGAUCAACCGGACGUUCCAUGAUGUCAUGGAACCACUUGUAUUCAUUGGCUGUCAAAUGGAGACAAAUAUCUGAACCAUGUGAUCCAGUGGUGUGGAUUAACAAGCUAAGGUACUCCACCUUGUUUUCUAUUAAUGUAGUGAAGUUUAGUUAGUUAUUAAAGGUCAUUGAAAUCUAUACUUGGUCUCAGCAUUUUAACAAAUAUCUACUAUAUUUUCCUAAGUCUUUUCGAAUUUAAUUGAGUACACAAUGAUAUUCUCACACGACAUAAAUAUUAUAAGCAUCACUCCCUUCACCUCAAGCAUGAUAAAAGCCCUCCCUCAACUUGCUUAACUUGCUUCAUUUGAUCCUUUAGUUCUGUGGAAUUAUUCCCAGCUGUCUGUGUUUGUAUUGGGAGUUGUUGUGCUUCUCUCUCAUUUGGAGCACUCAUGGAUUGUGAUACUUUUUGACUUACCAAAAGAAAGAAGGAUUCUAGCAUAUAUGACUUGAAGUUUGGUUGAAGCUUUCGGAGGACUAAAGACUAAUGUCACUUUGGCUCAUUUAAGACUAAAACCAUUAAUUCGUAUCUAAGCAAGGAUAACCAGAAUAUCACAUACUACUUACCAUGUGGACAAGAUGCUAGAGCAUGAAGAGACUCCCCUCUCAGAAGUUGUGGAGAUAUUCAAGAAAUGCUACAGGAUCAAUAAGUUUGAUGGAAAUGAAUGUCUUGUUUAUGCUGCUGGUGUCAAGUUUAUUCUUAUUUUUAGCAUUUGACUGCUUAUCCUUGUUUUUUUCCUUCUCGAAUUCAGCAACACUUCUAAAGCAAACAUUGCAUGUGUGGUUAAACAUCUUUCAUUUUGCAGUUCAGAUACUUUGACUGGGACCACCAACUUCUCUCAUAAAAACAUCAGUUCACUGAACCUCCUGGCCAUCGUUUCUUGUUACAUUUGUUGUUUUCUCUCAUUGCCUUUCUUCCUUAGUCCAUGUUUUUGUAUAUAUAUUGUAUCACCCCUACUUAGGAUAAGGAGUCCCACAUCGGCAAAAUACAGGAGGGAUGUUGGGUAUAUAAGUAAGCAAGUCUUACUCCCUAGUGAAGCGUUUUAAAGCCAUGCGGGCUUGGGCCUAGAGCGGACAAUAUCACUAGUCGGCUGGGCUAAGGGGGUCUCUCGGGCCUUCGUGGUUCGGGAUGCCCGUCGCGGCCAGGGCCUCGACUCGGAUCGUGACAAGAAUGGUAUCAGAGCCACUCCUGUGCCAGCCCUGUCGAUGUGACCCAGAGUUCAAACUAAGUUUAGGCAAAUCCCAUUCGGUGGGGCAAACCUCAGCAAGGACGCUAUCAGAGCUGCUCCUGUGUCAGCCUUGUCGAUGUGGGCCAAAGUUCAAACUGAGUUUAGGCAAAUCCCAUUCGGCGGGGCAAACCUCAGCAAGGACGCUGAGUCCAUUAGGGGAUGUAUUUAACACCCCAACUUAGAAUAAGGAGUCCCACAUCGGCAAAACACUGGAGGGAUGCAGGGUAUAUAAGUAAGCAAGCGUUACUCCCUAGUGAUGUGUUUUAAAGUCGUGUGGGCCUGAGCCUAGAGCGGACUAUAUCACUAGUGGGUUGGGCUAAGGGGGUCUCUCGGUCCUUCGUGGUUCGGGAUGCCCGUCGUGACAUAUAUCUCCACUUCCCUAAAGGGAAAAUAUCUUCUCAUGACUCAUCGGGUGCUUUAAUUUCUCUUUUUCGCUUAUGUACAGAUAAAGCUCCUUGUUCCAUUUCAGUGCAGGAUUCUAGUUCUAAUUGUAAAAUUUGAUAGGUGCUAGACAAGUUGACUUCAUCAAAGUGUUGAAACCCCUCGUUUAGGCCUCACUCACUAGAUGGUGGUGCAGAACCAUGAAUUAUUGACAUGGAUCAUAUGUAAUGACCGGCUUGCGAUGGUUUUCUAUUUUGUUUAACGGCAUAUUCAAGUCCGCUAAAAUGCCCGAGGCUUGGAGAUGGAGUACUAUGAUCCCGUUAUAUAAGAACAAGGGCGACAUUCAGAGUUGCAACAACUAAGGGGGAUAAAGUUAUUAAGCCACACUAUGAAGAUUUGGGAGAAAGUGGUCGAGUUGACGUUAAGGAGGUUAGUGACUAUCUCGGAGAACCAGUUUGGAUUUAUGCCUGGGCGCUCGACGACGGAGGCAAUUCAUCUGGUGCGGAGACUGGUAGAACAAUAUAGGGAAAGGAAGAAGGAUCUGCACAUGGUGUUUAUCGACUUGGAGAAGGCGUACGACAAAGUCCCUAGGGAGGUUCUUUGGAGAUGCUUGGAGGUGAGUGGGGUCCAGUGGCGUAUAUCAGAGCAAUCAAGGACAUGUAUGAUGGAGCUAAGACACAGGUUAGGAGGGCGGGAGGAGAUUCGGAGCAUUUCCCUGUCAUCUACUCUUAGCCCGUUUUUGUUUGCUUUGGUGUUGGAUGUGUUGAUGCAGCUUAUUCAAGAAGAGGUGCCUUAGUGUAUGCUUUUUGCAGACGAUGUAGUUUUGAUUGAUGAGACGCGGGGGGUUGUGACUGAUAAACUAGAGGUGUGGCAACAGACCCUUGAGUCUAAAGGGUUUAGGUUGAGUAGGACCAAGACAGAGUACUUGGACUGCAAGUUAGACUUGCGGCAGGAGGACGACGUGGUAGUAAGGUUGGAUUCCCAGGCGGUGUGCAAGAGGGGUAGUUUCAAGCAUCUCGGGUCCAUGAUUUAGGGAAAUGGUGAGAUUGACGAGGAUGUCUUCCACCGUAUUGGGGCGGGAUGGAUGAAGUGGAAGUUCGCCUCAGGGGUAUUGUGUGAUAGGAAGGUGCCGCCCAAGCUUAAAGGCAAAUUCUGCAGGGUGACAGUUCGUCCGGCCAUGUUGUAUGGAGCGGAGUGUUGGCCAGUCAAAAACUCACAUCCAAAAAUUGAAGGUGGCAGAAAUGCGGAUGUUGCGUUGGAUGUGUGGGCUUACUAGGGGUGAUAGAGUUCGGAAUGAGAUCAUUCGGGAAAAAGUUGGAGUGGCUUCGGUGGAGGACAAGAUUCGGGAAGUUCGAUUGAGAUGGUUCGGGCACGUGAUGAGGAGGGGCACGGAUGCCCCGGUUCGUAUGUGUGAGCGGCUAGCAUUGGAUGGAUUCAGGCGGGGUAGGGGUAGGCCGAAGAAAUACUGGAAAGAGGUGAUUAGGUAGGACAUGGAGCAGUUGCAGCUUACUGAGGACAUGACCCUAGAUAGGAAGAUCUGGAGGACGCGAAUCAGGAUAGAAGGUUAGGGAUAGUUUGGGUCGUUGGGGUAGGGCAAUACUGGGUGGGUGUACUUUUCUUGUUAUGCCACAUUGUUGCAUGCCUUAUUACGUAUUUGUUUACUAUUCUUUGUUUAUUAUCCUUUGUGGGUGGAUUAGUUAUGUCUUUUCAUCUUUUCCCAUGCUUUAUUUUGGAUUUAAUUAGUAUCUCGUGUCGUGAGCUGGGGGUCUAUCGGAAAUAGCCUCUCUACCUCAUCGGAAGUAGUGUUAUGGACUGCGUACAUCUUACCCUCCCCAGACCCCAUUAUGUGGGAAUACACUGGGUUUGUUGUUGUUGUUGUUGUUGAUCAUAUGUAAUGAAACCUUAUCAUGAAACUGAAAGGAGAAAAUCUUUUAACAGCCGAAAAUGAUGUUGACCGUUGCAAGCUAAAACAACAAAGUGAAGGCUGAAUAAGUUGUUGAUGGAGAAGGAAUCUUAACACUGUUAUCCAAGAGAUUUGUUAUUAAAAAAUCUGUUAUCCAAGAGAUUACUUUUGAGGUUCUCUAUUCAUCCAGAAGAUUUAAGAUUCUAUGUUCCCUUCAAAUCUCUGUGCUGGUAUUGUGGUAGUCACAAUUCACAAACAUUUUGGUUUAGAAAAUUUUUCAACAGCUUCUCCAAAAACCAAAAGCAAAGCCAAGAGGUUUAGAAAAUAGAUUUUGCUUUUCCGAAAGUCGCAAUUUCAGGUUUUCACAAUAACACAAAUCUUCUCCAAAGACGUUUUCAAAUAACUACUCCAGAUUUAAAUUUCCCGAAAUUGUCCAAUAGAGUUUUAAGAAACUAAACCUAAACCAAAUCCAAACACUGGUUGUGUUCUCUUGGCACUAUCAACUAUGUAUUUUAUAUGCAAAAGGUCAUGAUUUUAGCCUUAUGCAUCAAUAUAUGGAUGGAAUCCUUGUUAUAUUUGCUCAGGUUUCCUUUACUUGAUCAAAAAACUAUAUACAUAUAUUUUCUCUGACUGCAUGUAGCAUGAGGAUGGAUAUUAAAAGUGACUAAAAUUCUGAUAUGCUGCUUUAUCUUUACUUUUUGAUGAGGAUUCUCAUCUUUUUUGCAUAGUGAGGAAUUCAAUACUGGAUUUGGGUCUCACACUCCUCUUGUUCUCGGUCAAGCCAAAGUUGUUCGCUACUAUCCUAAUUUUCAGAGGUAAUAGCUUUACCUUUGAUUAUGUACAAAUGUAUUAGCUUACAGUUUUAUCUUUUGUGUAACAUGACUACUGCAAAUGAUGCCGAUGCCAAGAUUGGCCUUUUGAGCUCGUUACAGCAUUUGUAAUUGAUGCUACCCUUGCAAUUCCUUUACAACACCUUGCUGCUGGCCAUCACUAAAAUUCCUUUUAACAGUCAAAAAGAUAACCUUUCUGAUUUGUAUUAGCUUCUUCUCAAGGUUCUUAUUGUCUGUCAAUGUUCAGAACCUUGACUGUUGCCAAGGCUGUUAUCAAGGAAAAGAAAUCAGUGUACAACAAGGAAGACAAGAUAAUUGAUCUUUAUGAACAGCAGAAAUUGCAAGAAGUGAGUUUGUUUGCUUAUGAUCUUAGUUCAAUCUUAUGCACCGUUGUCCCCCUUUUCACAUUGUAUAGUUUUUGGUGAUGUCUUAUUUCUGUUGUUUCAUCUUGUUUUAUGUUUUAUUACGACUUUAUUUACCGUCUUUUUGUCGUGAGCGGGGGUUCUAUCGGAAACAACCUCUCUACUUCUUCGGAGGUAGCGGUAUGGACUGCGUACAUUUUACCCUCCCCAGACCCCACUAUGUGGGAAUACACUGGGUUUGUUGUUGUUGUUGUGUAGUUUUUGGUGGUUGAUAAUUGUUUUUUUGUUUCUUGUCAAAAUACUGAAUUUAUAGCAUUUCCCAUGACAAUAUAACCAUUAAAUUGAGAAAUCUUUAUUAGCUGAUUUUAUACUGGUCACUUUUCUUCCUUAUGUAUCUGAUGGCUCUCUGAAAUCAAACUAGAAGUCCACUUGCUAGGGUUACUAUUAUGUCGGCAUGCCCUUUCUCUUAUUGUGGUAUUCAACACCUGAGCUGUAUUUUGCAGAUAAUGGCUGCAGAAUCCUGCUCUGAUCUUUACAGAGUUGUUGGUCAAGACUUUUGGUUGGCCACCUGGUGUAAUAGUACAGCACUUGAGGGGUACUUUUUCAUUUUAGUCCUCUUUAUACAGCAUAACAGGAUGUUACUCUCAGAUAUUUUCUCUCACCAGGGUCUUGUUUCUAAUUUUCCCUCCUUUCUUAUUGCCUGAUCAGGAAGCGUCUUGAAGGAACAAGGAUCACUGUUGUGAAAAUGUAGCACACCAUCUAACCUUAUUGGAAUUGAACCUUUUGUGUGGGGAAAGGAGGGAGUGACUUGAUUAAAGUAUUGCCUAUAUUAGCUCUGAUUUCCUUAUUCUUGUAAACUUUUCUUGUUCCUUCCAGGGGUGAGAUCGGUUACGACUGCGCUAUUAGAACACCUUGUACACCUGCUAGAUGGGAUGACUUUGAUGUGGAGAUGACAUCUGCCUGGGAGGUAUCCCCCUAGAUUUAUUAUCUAGAAAGCCAUUUUCUACUGCCAAGACAUUGUUUUUGGAUAUUUAAAAGCAAUAUAACGUCAAUCUAAAUUAGUAGACACUAAAAUCCUUUUAGGGGUCGUUUGGUAGGGUGUAAUAGGUAGAAUAAUGCUAGUACUAAAUUUUAGUACAAUGUUUGGUAGCACACCUAUGUACAACUAAUAUCAGUAUUGCUUAUACACCCUAUUCAAUACUAUUUUUAUACAUAGUAAACCAUGGCAUUAACAAUAUCAGUACUGUUCAGGCUCUUUGCGAUGCUUACUGUGGUGAGAAUUAUGGGUCAACAGAUUUUGAUGUGCUUGAAACUGUGAGAGAUGCAGUCUUAAGAAUGACAUAUUACUGGUAAGACUUAUCUUCUAUCUGGUUGAUCUCAAGGGAAGUAUAUGGUUCUUUUAAAUUUGGCUGACAAUUUUUGCAGGUAUAAUUUCAUGCCGCUUUCUAGAGGAACUGCUGUUGUCGGGUUCAUAGUUUUGCUUGGAUUACUCCUCGCUGCUAAUAUGGAGUACACAGGAAGCAUUCCAAAAGGUCUGCAGGUGGAUUGGGAAGCCAUCCUGGAGUUUGACCCGAGUUCCUUUGUAGAUUCUGUAAAGAGAUGGUUGUACCCAUCUCUAAAAGUUGGCACAUCCUGGAAAAACUACCCAGAUGUCACAUCAACAUUCGAGACGACUGGAUCAGUUGUUGCUGCAUUGAGCACCUAUUCAGACUAAGGGAGAUACGUCAUUUAUCAGUAAGUUGCUCUAGAUUCGAAGAAAACAAAAUUUUCUACUCUAUUCUGCUGGUUGUUUAUGUUUGCUGUUUGUAGUUCAGCAAACUUUUGGAGAGCGUCCUUUUGUGUAAUGGUUUCCGUCCUUGUAUUUCACCUCUCCACUUUUAAUAGGAGUAUUCAAUGAUACUAAGACCAUUCACUUGAUUAAGGGUGCACAAUAGUCUCAAAUGAUGUUCUCCUUGGUCUUUUAAGCCACCAGCAUCAUAGACUUGAAUGUUGGUGGCUACAGAGACUAGUACCCCUCAUUUGGGGGUGGUGGGUGCUACACACGAGGAUUGUUCAGUCAACUGGAUAUUUUUGGUCUCUGUCAGCUUUGGCGUCAUUGGAAUUGAAACCAAAGGAAAUUACUGAAAUUUUUAGUGGUGAAAGUAUGGAAUACAGUCCUAGCAACUUAAAUCACGAGGACAUGUACAAUUUGGCUUUUUGUAUUUCCUGUUCACAACCAUAAAGCUUCUCUGAACUUGUUAGGAUAUUUCGGCAGUUCUAAAUUUUGAAUGCUUUUUUAUUGGUGAGACCAAUGUGAAAUGUUUGUAUGAAAUGUGAGGGUGCAGUGGAUUGCUUCCAUUUAACGUCUUAACUUUCCCAUUUAUUUGCUGCAAAUAGGUUUCAUCUGAGAUAAUUUAUCUGGAGGAAUUUUGCUGGUGCAUUGCCGGACUUGAUCAUGCAGCAGAUGAAUUGAGGGGAGCUGUUUUACAUUAUUGCCAUUUUCCAACUGUAGCAUUACUUGUGAAAUGUUGUAUUUUAGUUGUAUUGUGUAUGAUCGGCCUUGUUAUUGUGUCCUUUCUUGAUAGAUUUCAGCAUGAUUAUUUAAAAAGAAAUAAAUACUUUAGACGAUUUCUAGUCUCUUUUUCUCUCUGCAUUUUGUGUUUCUGUGUGCAGUUAGACGAGCCCGUUUCUUCUAUAGUUUGCAGGGUUGUAACGAAUGAACAAUGGAGGUUAAAAUCCACACACUUUUUAGCCCACAACAAUAACCACUGGAAGUUAAGUGGUUUUGAACUUCCUAUCCUGCUUGCCAAUAGGCAAACUUCCUCCACCGCCUCCUUCCUUGCACUUCAUCUUCCUUUCGGUUUUUCAUUCCGAGGCUAGUAGUCAUAUUAGACGUUUGUAAAGUUAGAAGCAAUAACUACCAGUGGAAUAAACAUAAUAUUUUUUUAAAAAAAAACUAAAUAAAUAAACACGCACAAAUGCACUCCAGUUUUCAGCAUUUGGAACCAACAAAAUCUACCUUGGUAGCGGGUUAGGUAUGAUACGAUACCUCAGCAGAUCUUUUCUAUAAAUCUUGUCUAUUUUGUAUCCAUUUAUAGUGAAUUUGUUGAGUUGUCUUGUCGAGGACGACCAUAUCAAACCAAAAAGUGUACCGUCUGAAAGGGACUGAUAAGAUGAACAAAUUCAUAUCUUUCCUUCACUCUUUAGUAAGAAAUACCCAAAUAUGAUUAACUUCCAAAGUUUAUUUUGUUUCCACAUAGAAAAGGGGAAACAAUGAUUAGUAUCUUGUCCAAAAAAACUCAAGCUUAUGUCGUUUAACAAUUGACAAGAAAGGCAAACAGGAUGAUCCAGUGGACACUAGACGAUCUAGCUGGGGAAUAUUUUUAAUUCCACAUUUGGACAUAAGCUGCUCCAGAAUCUAACUGUUUGGGACAGUAUUUCCUUCUUAAAUGGCUCUAGCAUCCUUUGUGAACAAAAGAUAGCAAGAUCUUAUUCCGACAUGAUUAAAGAUCCUUAUAUGAACUUAAAAGUUUCUAAAUCUUUAACCAUGCUAUCACAUUUUUCUUGUACUUUUACAUUUUUCCGUCGUUUGAUACUCUUCAGUAUUGGUUCAAUAACGCCUUUGCUUCUCCGGCUUGUUCUCCAUAUCGAUACCUUUUUCCAGAGCCGCUGCUCCUUGUCUUUCCCCUUGGUUGGCAUGCCUGUUUGAGGACACUCCCAAAUACGUUUAUUAGAAGUCCUAAUCUUGAGAAUAUUGAGUGAACUAAAACUUCAUAGUCAACAUGUGCCAGAGCACGCACACCAAAAAAGAAUUGAUAGCGCUCACAUUGCUAGUGUAAUUUAACAUGUUGUAACAGGGUGUUUGCCUUAUUUUCAAGUUACUCAUCGCUCUUAUUAUACGUUGUUAGCUACAAAGGAAAAAGAAAAACGAAAAUAAUUCAGUACUUACUUUUCAGUAGCGCCUCUUCUAUUGUCCCUUUCGUUUUUCCACCUGCAAAGCCAUGCUGGACCCUGGAUGUACGAGUUCCAUCAUCAUCAAUGUCAUCUGCCUUGGACUUUGCAGCACCCGCAAAAGUCCACGUGGCUGUCAUCUGCUUGUUCAACAGGCGCAUUGCAUAGUAUGGGAUUUUCCUUCUGCUGCUUCUGUUUCCAUACAACUUGCUUCGUUCAUUGAUGAACAUCAAACAAUCCAUUAAACUUAGUCUGGCCAAUCCUUUCAUGUCAUAAGCCUGCGAUCUUCGCCACAGGCUCUUUACAUGAGGCCUUAUUUCACCUGAUAAGCAUAACGCUCGAGUUGUAUCACUAAUAGCUAAAUCUGCUUCUCCUAAAACUAAAUUACAUUGAGCUCUAUUGCUAUAAAGAACAAUCCUUUCUUUUCUUAAUUUUAGUGGACACAAAUCUAAAGCCUUUGUGUACUCUUUAACAGCUGCUUCAAUCUCAGUUGACCAAAAUUUCUUGUUUCCCUCACUUUUUAAAAUGGAACCCAAAAGCUCCAUUUCCUUCACUUCUCGUUCGGACAUGAUUUUAUCCCUCUUCCGUUUUUCCACCUUUAAGUCCCAAAUCUCUUCGAUUGCUUUUUGUGAUCCUUCUUCGUAGAACCUCGGAAAACCAUAUUUGAUUUUAGCAUAAUCUUGCAAGAGUACUUGUGUUAUCAUGUCACCCACUUUUCGUCUUCCUUUGAUAGUUCUAAGCUCUACUAAAUCAGCAAGAAAAGGAGCAGCAAUAUUUGUCACUGUGUUCCUUGUUUUUGGAUCCUUGAGAAGUGACAAAAGACUUUCAAUUGCCACGUAUUGCCUUUCGUCUGAUGACCUCGAUAAGUUGCAGAUAUUGACUACAACUUCUUUGAAUUGAGCUAUGUUUUUUCGGCCAUCUUCACUGUCACAGAGACUUCUGAUUAGGCCAAUGCCGGAGAAAGAAGUUUGGUUCUGUAAUCCACCCCAUAUAUCACACAAAUUCUUGAGAAAUUCUUCUUUGCAUAUCAAGUUUAUGCUUCGUUUCUUUCUAACGAAGCAAUUGAGAAGGUAGAGAGACCAACAUUGCAUUUGGCAAGCCCAAGACUCUGCUUUUUUAUUCCCCAUUUCCAAUUCUCCGAGUCCUUUUGUCAUCAAAUAGCAAUGAUAUUCGACUCUGUCUUCACUUUUCUUGCCCACAAACUCACUACAGAUUGUAUAAAUGCAUUUGGAAGCUAUGUCCAUGGUCAGUUUUAUAAUCUCCAGUUCAUGGACCUUAAUGUCUUCAAAUGUCCUUCUAUGUCGCGCAAUGUGGCCAAGUGCUCUAACCGCCACUCUUUGCUCGACCCAAGUUAUCUUACCUCUUAAUAACUCUAUUAGUGGCGAAAUCACGCCUGAUUUAACAGCCAAAACAGAGAAUCUAGCUUUGUUCAUGGUGUAGGAGCCAAUAACGUGAGCUGCAUAAUAAGGAACAUACACGUUUUUGCCUCUUGAAAGCCAUUUUUGGUCACGGGUGCACCUGCUGAGAAGUUUAGCCAUGCAAUUAAAGACACCGAGGGACGGGAAUUCAGGAUCAUCAGGUUGAGCCAGAGCAAUAUUCCAAAGGCAUCUUAAGGUGGGAACAAGUUCCAUAUCUUCUAUGAGAUGCAAAUCUUUGAAGCGUUGAGCUAUUAAUAUUUUUCGUAGUGAUGGAUCUUUAUCUUCCAUGGUACUGCACAACAAGCAACUACGACCAGUACUGGUGCAUUUCAUGUUGAUGAAAUGCACGGCAGAGUUUCUGUUGGCUGUUUUCUUGGAGCUCUCUAAGUAGUCAGAGAAUGUUCUUGAUGGAAUUUCUAUGGCAGGUUGUAGAGGUACUAUUAGUUUUAGGGGACUGGCCUGGGGUGGCAGGUAGGGGUUCAUUUUCAGAAGUUAACUCUUAGUCAGCAAAGUGUUUUGUCGUUAUUCAUAUUGGUCCAUCUUACUAAAUAUCAAGUUGUAAACCCCAUCCCCCACCCCACAACCCCCACACCCAGAGAAAGAAAAAGGAAGUACUUUGACAAACGUGUGGGCUAAAUCAUGAGUCCAGUUGGUCCAACUCUGACCAGAAGUUCGAGUUGUAGAUAGACAAAAAUAGGGGAUGAAGGAAUAAAAUGGAACGAUUGUACCAUUGGAUAAAAGUACCUAUAAGAGAGAUCCCCACUAAAAGUACCUAUAGGCACGACCAUGGAAGCAACGAAAAAUGUAUUGAGUAUGAAUGACCAACUUUUUCUUUUUUGUUAAUGAACUCUCCCAUCACGGUCAAUAUAGUUGAUUGGGAAGGAGAACUGGAGAAGGCUGGGAUUGAAACCUCACGUUUGGUUUUUCUUCAAACUCCGAUGCGCUCUUACCUCACCGUUACAAAUGGAAUCACAAUUCAUUGAGUUCGAAAAGUUCAAUUAAAUUUUAGCACAAACUAGCCCCAUAGUUUGGAACACAUUUUACUUAGAAGAUCCAUGUACUAUUCAUGACUCGAAACCAGACUUGCAAACUCUUUAUUUCAUUUCCGUUCUUCAAUUCCUUCUUCUGGAGUACUAGUGAGACAUCUUAGAUUCGGAAUCAUUAAUUUGACGGUAUGCUCUGUCAAUUAUUCUUCUUUUUUUCACUGGGCAAUAGGUCAGCAAAGCAUGAGUGGUAGAAUUUAUGAUAGCAGGGUUAUGAUAUUAAGCAUAUAAAGCCCUAGCAGAGGCUCCAAGGCAUUACCUUUUUUUUUUAUAACCACAAAAUGUAGCAGCCUCGUGGUGUCCAGAUUUAACUUGAAAAGCAAAGAAAGCAGUAGUUUAGUUUAUUUAAUGAAACACAAGUACAAAUGGGGUUGGUCUCAAGAAAAUGCGGCUAACCUAUGAAAUGAGUUGAAUUAAAGUAUCUUUUUGAGUUGAACUCAGUUCAACUGAAGGGGCAUUGCUUUUGAUGCCAAAAAUAAUCAUAACAAAUCUGGGUGGGAUAUAAUAAUACUAACAUGCUUAGUUCAGGUUUCAACAUGUGUCUUUACGUCUGUAUUAAUUAAGCAUUGCCUCCCUUCUAAUUUAUUAAUACUUAUCUUAAUUACUACUCGUUGGAUAGUUGAAUACACUGGGUUUGUUGUUGGAUAGUUGAAUAGCAGUAAUACUCUUUUCUUAUAAUUUUCUCAAGUACUGUUUAAAUAUUUUAAAUCAAUAAUAAUCUGUCAAUCACUAUUAAUUGAAUAGGAUUCACAUCAAACAUUAGUUAGUUUGACCCUCGUACAUGUUUCUUCCUUACUAGGUAAUGUAUUUUUUAGAAAAGAUCUUUCUGUUCUAAUUUUUAAGACAUUAUUUUUACAUUGCUAACUUUACUUUUCUUUGCUUCUUUAAGUCCUUUUAUAUGUCUAGUAGGGUGGAAUAAGUUGGAAAGAAAUUCCAGUCAUACUAAUAACAAGUAACAGGUGAACAGUUAGAAACCAAAAAAAGAGGAAAUGGAUUGGAAGUCCAACUUCUACUAUCCCACAAAUGAUUUAGAACUUUGAAACUCUCUCUUGUAUUAUUGGUCUUUAUCAUUGGGCCCAAGCCCAAAGAUUCUAUUGGCCUGAACAACGUCAAGAUGAGGGACAAGUUUAGAUAUACAUAUCUUAUAAGUCUAGUCUGGAAUAGAAAGAGACGAACUAGACUUGUAUAACAGGUAAUGAGUGUGUGAAGCAAUAUUGUUAAUGACUUGAAGAGCAAAAUUUAGUUAAAGAGAGAGAGAGAGAGAGAGGCUAUAGGACGUGAAAAGAGAAAGUAUGCGUACAAUCGAACUCACGAAUAUUAUACUCUAAUACCAAGUUAAAUUUGAGCAUUCAAGCCGAAAUUUUAAACAUACUAGGUACCAGAUUGCAGGCGCAAGCAAAGGAAAUUAUAGACAAAAUUAGAAUAAGGCUCUCGAGUGAGACAUAAGGUAUAUAUGUGGUUAUUGUUAGGAGAACCUUUCAACAAAAGCAAACUGGAGGGACUAAUUGCAACCCACCCAUAUCAACUAUUUAACGCGUGUACACGUGAUCUUUAGCUCCGAUCUUCUUCAUCCCUUGCAUCAUGGUGGAGGCGAGCUCGUUUCUCCCGUUCCCUGCUUUCUCUUUUUUCUGCAUGAUAAAAUUCAGAUUCAUAUCUUUUUUGUUUUCUUUCAUCUCUCCUAUCACCAUAUUCCUUUGAAGUCAUUAUCAUCACGCCUCAUAGAUUUUCUCUGAGUAGCUUCCCCCGAGUUUUGUACCUCAUCAUACCUCCUAGAUCUUCUCUCCACGACAUCUUCUUUGUAAUUACUUCUCUUUUCCUUCUGCUCCGACCUGUGCUGCUUGACAUCUCCCUGAUCAUUAUUCCUUUCCAUAUCACUGAUUUUUGCUUUAGAAUUUAUUGGAUAUUUAUCAGAGACUUUGACCUCUUCCCGGUAAUCAGGACGUGGAAGCCGACUCCAUUGGCCAGAUCUCCUAUCCUUCCUAGAAUCGUCAACCUUAUCAUGUGACCAUCUCGAGCUUCGAUCUUCCUCGGCACCCCAGCCUGUGUUUGCAGCUCUCUAAAGACAAAAAAUCAAAAGGAAUUAAGUACCCUAAAAAAAUAAGAUAUGAACAGAUCCUAAAGUUUAGAAAAGUGAAAACUCCAAAUGAAGAAAGAGGGUCAAGAAAUAACAAAACACAGAGAACAAGAACAAUGUACCCUGUUCAGCAAACAUAUUAGUAAGGCAACAAGAGAAGAAUUUGUCGACGAUUUUGAAAAAAGUGACGCUGCUUCUCUGCUUCAUUGAGAAGUGACAAAUUGCUUAACUUUUUGUAUCUUCACCUGCGGAAACUUCAAAAAUUAAGAAUAAUUUCCCUGUUCAGCAAACAUAUUUCCAAUGGUCAAUGAUACUGAAAAUCUUGGAUUGUCAUACCUUAAUGUCGUUUUAGGACAGUUGGGUUACAAGGAAAAAUAGAUGCUUUGAGGAUAGAGCUUUAUCCUUAUCUUAUGCAGAUUUCUAAUAUAUGCAGAAUAAUACUUCCGUGUGACAUAAAGCUCGUUGAUGAUCCUUAAAACAUAGUGAAUUCAUCGACUCUGCAUCCUUAAGGGAAGGGAUUCCACAGUCAUGUUUAUCUCUAAGUACCAAUUUCUUGGCAUGUCUUCAAUAAAAUUUACAUUACUAAACCACCACAAAAGACUGGGAAAAUUGCACUAUACAAGCCAACUAGCAGUAACUAAGGCCUAAGAUCAUGACCAUAAAAGCAAUAACUCAAUUUCCGAAUGAGCUAAUGAAACGAACUCCUAACUAUGGAACGAAAGACGGUCUUGUUUUCAUAAGGGCGGUUCCUAGGACAGCUUGUACCUCGACUAUUCCAUUGGGUACCUGCUACCUCUAACAAGCAAUUGUACCAGACUAAUGAGUAACUCUACCUAGCAAAAUUUAGGCAAAUAGAAAGAAAUCACUGUAAACACCUAAUUUUUGACCAAACUGAAUGUUUUACGUCAUUUAGUAUCUUAUUUUACAAGAUUGCUUUUAAAGUUUGGAAAACUACAAAAAAUAAAGUCAUAUUAAAAUAAGUUUUUUAUUUAUUUAUUUUUAUUUACUUAUUUAUUUAAAAAAUAAAAAAAUAAAAAAAUAAAAAAUAAAGUCAAAUCCUAAAUCUACCCAAAACCACCCACAAUCCCCCACUCCUAAUCAACCUCCCCCACUAUUCCCCCCACACACUACCACAACUACAUACUACUACAUAAAGCACACAAACAUACUACACUAAAAAGGACAUAUCAUAUAUACACACACACGGAAAACAAGAAAAAAAACACUACACUACUACUACACUAUCCUACAUAACUACAACUACAUACAGACUACACAAAUACACACACACGGAAACAAGAAAAAAAACACUACACUAUCCUACAUAACUACAACUACAUACAAACUACAAAAACACACAUACACGGCUGAAACAAGAAAAAGAAAAAACCACUACAUAUUAUAUAUACUACAAACGCACACACACACGAAAAAAAAAGAGUAUUCUUAUGGGUUCGUGAGUUGGAGUUCGAGUUUCGGUUCCUGUUUUAGUCUCCGGU
rnacentral:lncRNA from 1 species